rnacentral:lncRNA from 1 species
UUUUUUUUCGUAGUUUCAUUUUCUCUUUCUUGAGUCAUAGGAAACACCGUACUGUUAAAGGGGGUCGAGGAAAUACUAAGGAAAAAUUUCCAUGUGAUGCUCAACUCAAAAUCCUACACCUACCAAUCCCUUCGAGUGAAGCCUUUGGAAAUCUCAUACAGUUCAGUCACUUUCUUCAGUGACAGAGAUGAAGUUCUUCUGGUCGCUGAUGAAUUUGUUCUGACUGAGGAGUUAGGAAUUCGUCAGUGCGAAUUACCUACACAGUGAGGAACAUGAUAGCCCUGAGGAAUUUGAGAGUCAAAUUUCCGACCGUUGCUGUGCUGCGCGCCAGCUGUCUCAAAAUAUCUUAUCCACCUAACGGUCAUAUCAUUGAAGGGCAUUUAUGUCUUAUCAUGUCGGGCUGCUCCCUAGGCUAUAAAUAGCCGCCCCCUACAACCACUAGCUGGUUGGCUGCUCCAAGAGAACUUGACACUUGUCAUUUGAGAGCAACCCAUCCUCCGAGGACUUUGAGCGAAAAUCAUCGAGUGAGGAAAACCCAAAACCAAACCCCUACAAACCCAAAGUGAUUGAGCAUCACUGAAGAAAUUGAUCCUGCGUGGAUCCGACGCUUGUUAACUUUGAAGACUGUGCUUCUUCCAGACGGUUAGGCGUCAAGGUCUAGAGCAUCCAAGAGGAAUUGUGGAUUGCCGAGUGACCAAGUCUAUGAAGGUUUGGAAGUCGCCUGGAGACUUACCACGAGUGAUUGGACGAGGUCUAUGUGACCUUAGUUCAAGGAGAAUACGGAGAGGACCGGGUGUCCUGAGCUGCGUGCUCAGCGACUGGGUGUCCGGGACUGUGUGUCCUCGAGUUUAAAUACUCAGCCGCUCCAACCAGACGUACAACUGAGACAACAGUUGGAAUUGGUCUACCAAAUCAUUGUCUUCACCAACCUAACUGGUUCUAUUUCCUCAACCCUUUCAUUUCCUCAUUACUGUGUUGAGUGUUUAUUCAUAUCUAUGUUUGAAGACUUUGACUGAAGACUUUCUCAAUUUCCUCAGUUCAAUUUCUUCAGUCUGUUUGUCUUCAUCUUGUGUUAUCCUGUGAUUACGCUUUCUGUACUCUGUGCUAGUCUUCAUUUCAUCAUGAUGACCAUGCUUGUAUUCUGUUAUGCUUACUUCUGAGUACUUAUUCCACUGCUAAUAGUUCUUCGCUAAGGAAUUUCCUCACCGGCAAAUUCCUCAGUGAAGAAUUCAUAAAAAUCGCCUAUUCACCCCCCCUCUAGUUGACAUAACGCACUUUCAAUUGGUAUCAGAGCAAGGUACUCCCUUGUUCUAUGUGAUUUUGGUUUAACCGCCUGGAGUUUUAGUUAUGUCGACCACAGGUAUGAAGAAAGUGACAUGCCCUAUCUUUGACGGUCAUGAUUAUCCCAGGUGGAAGGCCAUGAUGAGGAAGCGCCUCAUGGCAAUGAACAGCGAGCUGUGGACCGUCACUGAGAUUGGUCUGACUGAUCUAUGCAAGAUGGCGGACGCUGAUGAUAUUCGCAAGUACACUCGACUUGACAUCUUGGCGAAGGAUAUCAUCUGUUCCUGCCUAUCCAGAGAUUAAUUCAGGCACAUUAUGCAUCUUUGCAAUGCAAAGCUUAUCUGGGACCGAAUCUUCGACGUCUAUGAAGGUCAUCGAACCCGUCAUGAUCCUUGGUUUGAGGACUUCAAGGAAUCUCUCGAAACAAUGACUUUCGAACCAGAAUCAUCAUCUUCUGCAUCAUGUCUCAUGGCAAAGGGUGUCGAGGUAACCGAAUGUUCCUCAUCUGAAUUUAGUGACUGUGAAUCUGAUGAUGAUGAAUCUGAUGAUGAUAUUGAACCUAGCUAUACCAAACUUGUUUGCAUUGCCACCAAACAACAACAUGCCUUGGAAAAGGUUCAAAACAUGCUAGAUAAGAGUGAUGAUAUGUUAGGUGAAGAAAUGGAUCGCACUAAAGCCCUGACUGAAAAUCUUCAGAGACUUUAGUCUAGGUUUGAUAACCUUCAAAGUCAUCAUAACACUCUCUUAUUUGAUCAUGAGAAACUUUCUUAUGAAUUUCUUCAAAGAAAGCAAGAUCUUGAGAAGCUAAGAGUGAGUUAUGAAGAUCUUCAGAAGGAGCGCGAUUCAUUACUAGCUCAACAAAUCAGCGCUUCUCAGGAAGAAUUUGUUCCUCCAUGCUUAAAGUGCAUUGAACGUGAAUCUGCUAAUUCUUCACCUGAAUGUUCAAAUGCUUCAACUAUUACAAAUUCUUCACCUGCCUCUGCUAUCACUAAUUCCUCAUCUGAGGACAUUGCUAGUAUCACUGACGAUGCAGGGCUGAAGGAAUUGUACAUGACAUGCAUGUACAAAAGCCUCAAAGGGCAUCAGACUCUUUGUGAUGUGCUUAAAAAGCAGAUCCUCAACAGAAACCCUAGGAAAGAGGGCAUCGCCUUUGAGAGGAAACUUAAUGCUGAUGGAACAUAUUGGAAGCCUGAGCAGUACCCCAAAACCUCAUGGGUUGCUGCAAAGGGACCUCCAGUUGAUCCAUCUAACUUAUCUGGCUUUACAUGUGAAUCUCCUCAUCCUUCUGAUGAGUCAUUUGACUCCAACUAUAAACUGUUCAAAAAUCAUAAUGGUGAAGUAUUUGCUAGAUAUGUUGGCACUAACUGCAGGAACGGUUCUCCCAUGAAGAAAAUCUGGGUUCCCAAGAAGUGCCUUGAAAGUGUUCAGGUGAAUGUCCUCAUGACACCACCAGUGAAGAACAGGAACCCCAGAUCAAAUUCUUCAUAUGGAUCAAAUUCCUCAAAUGGAUCAAAGUCCUCAUAUGAUUAUCAUCGUGCUAACAACUCUGUUUCACAGGGUAGAGCUAAGGGCUAUGAAUAUGUGCAUUAUUCUUCAAACCAUUAUGUUCAUAAGUCCUCGAAGAAUUUCUCUGCUUAUUCAUAUGCUUACCCUAACCCCUCUUAUGUGAAACGAAAUGGUUUGGCUUCUAUGCCACCAUUCUCGUAUGGUGCUCGCAAAGUGAUGAACUCUUUGCCACCCCUUCAGAUGUGGGUGGUGAAGAAAAAGAACUAAUCUCUUCUGCAGGGUUAGGUCUCCAGACGUGCCUUAAGUCUGAAGAAUUUGCUGGGGACCUGACAAAAUUGCCUAAAAGGACGCAGGCGAAUCAUGAUGAAAUAAACUUUCACACGUCCUCCUACUGCUAUAUCUGUUUACUGCUUGAUGAAAUUCAUCUGAUGAACUUGAUAUCAUAUUCUUCAUUGAUGAAGCAUAUGAGAUUGUAAGUUACACUAAUUCAUCUGCAGGAUGAUCAACCCAAAGCCACUGAAUGGGUCCUCGAUAGUGGAUGUACAAAUCACAUGACUGGUGACAAGAAUCUUUUGAUGGAUGCUCCCUUAUCACCGUCACAUCUGAAGCACAUCAUCUUUGCUGACAAAGGCAAAAGUUAGGUAUUGGGUCUUGGUAAGGUUGCGAUCUCUAAGGAUAAACACAUGGACAAAGUCAUGCUUGUUGAGUCCUUAGGAUACAACCUCAUGUCAGUCUCAAUGCUUUGUGAUCUUGAUAUGGUUGUUGUCUUUGGCAAGUAUCGCUGUGUUGUGAUUAUGGAAGCUGACAAUUCCAAAGUCUUCGAAGGCUUUAGGAGAGGAGAUUUGUAUAUUGUUGAUUUCUCUACAGGACCACAACCAGCCGUGUGUCUACUUGCAAAAGCUUCAGAAGGCUGGCUAUGGCAUCGACGACUUGGUCUCGCAGGCAUGAGGAAUUUGCACACGCUUGCGAAGAAGAAGCAUGUCAUUGGCAUUGAGAAUGUCAAAUUCCUCAAGGAUCACUUAUGCGGAGCCUGUGAAGCUGGAAAAAUGACCAAGGCCAAGCAUCCAGCGAAGACUAUCAUGACCACUACUCAUCCAUUCGAAUUGCUUCACAUGGACCUCUUCGGACCUAAUCAUUACUCAGCAAUGAUGCAUCUCUAUAUGGUUUUGUCAUUGUUGAUGAUUCUCUCUCGAUAUACAUGGGUACACAUUGUUACUUACAAACAUGAAGUGCAGGAAGUCUUCAAACGUUUUUCCUCGAGGGCUUCAACCAACUUUGAUGUGAAGAUCAAGCACAUCAGAAGUGACAAUGGAACCGAGUUCAAGAAUUCCGGUCUUGAUGACUAUCUUGAUGAACUUGGUAUUACUCAUGAGUUAUCUGCUCCCUAUACUCCUCAGCAAAAUGGCAUCGUGGAGCGCACGAACAGAACUCUUGUUGAGAUGGCUCGCACUAUGCUUGAUGAAUACAAAACGCCUCAUCGUUUUUGGAUUGAUGCAAUUGAUACUGCGUACCACAUCAUCAACAGAGUAUAUCUUCACAAAUUCUUCAAGAAGACGGCAUAUGAACUCCUCACUGACAAGAAACCCAAUGUGAGUUAUUUCAAAGUCUUCGGUGCUAAAUGUUGGAUUAGAGAUCCUCACCACAAUUCUAAAUUUGCACCGAAAGCACAUGAAGGUUUUAUGCUUGGUUACGGAAAGGACUCGCACACCUACAGAGUCUUCAACAUUGUUCUUCACAAGAUUGUUGACACUGUAGAUGUGCGGUUCGAUGAAACUAAUGGCUCGCAAAGAGAGCACCUACCUUCUGUGUUAGAUGAACCAGCACCUGAGGAUUCUAUCAAGUUCAAGGCAACUGAGGAUGUCAUUCCUACUGAAGAAUUUGCUAAAGAAUUCAUUCCAGUUCAUGAAGAACAUCGAGCUGAUACACCUGAAGAAAAUGCUGAGGAAAAUGGUGCUGAAGAAAAUGCUAAUCAAACUCCUCAGCGACAACCAGCUCAUCCUCGCGUUGCAAAAGAAGUGCAAGUGGAGAAUAUCAUCGAUGACAUUAGAGCACCAGGUCCUCUCACACACUCAAAAGCUUCACAUUUAUCUAACUUUUGUGGGCACUAUGCUUUUGUCUCUAUCACAGAGCCCACUAAGGUAGAUGAAGCAUUUUUGGAGCCGGAGUGGAUUCAGGCUAUGCAAGAAGAAUUACAUCAGUUCGAGCUCAACAAUGUCUAGGAACUGGUCAAACGUCCAGAUCCUCGCGAGCAUAAUAUCAUUGGCACAAAGUGGAUCUACCGCAACAAGCAAGAUGAAAAUGGCCUUGUGGUGAGGAAUAAGGCACGACUGGUAGCUCAAGGCUACACACAGGUUGAAGGAAUUGAUUUCGAUGAAACUUUUGCACCUGUUGCUAGACUUGAGGCUAUUCGCAUAUUACUUGCUUAUGCUAACCAUCAUGAUAUCAUCUUAUAUCAAAUGGAUGUGAAAAGUGCAUUCCUCAAUGGUAAGCUUGAGGAAGAAGUAUAUGUUGCUCAACCCCCAGGUUUUGAAGAUCCAAAGAAUCCUGACAAAGUCUUCAGACUUAAUAAGGCCCUCUAUGGCCUCAAGCAAGCCCCUCGGGCGUGGUAUGAUACAUUGAAGGAAUUCUUCGUGAAGAAUGGCUUCACACCCGGUUCACUCGACCCUACUCUCUUUACUAAAUCUUAUGAUGGUGAACUGUUUGUGUGCCAAAUAUAUGUUGAUGAUAUUAUCUUUGGCUGUACUGACCAACGUUAUAGUGAUGAAUUUGCCUAUAUGAUGAGUGAAGAAUAUCAAAUGUCUAUGAUGGGAGAGUUGAAAUUCUUCUUAGGUCUUCAAAUUCAUCAACAACGCAAUGGCAUAUUCAUAUCUCAGGAGAAAUACCUCAAAGAUGUACUGAGGAAAUUCGGCAUGCAAGAUUGCAAAGGCGUCAAAAUUCCUAUGCCCACAAAUGGCCAUCUAUGCACUGAUGAAAAUGGUAUUGACUUCGAUCACAAGGUAUACCGCUCCAUGAUUGGUUCUUUAUUGUACUUAUGUGCAUCUAGGCCAGAUAUAAUGCUUAGUGUUUGCAUGUGUGCCCGAUUUCAAGCUGCACUGAAGGAAUCACACCAUAAGGCUGUGAAGCAUAUUCUUCGAUAUCUAGCUCACACACCAACACUAGGAUUAUGGUACCCCAAGGGCUCCGCUUUUGAUCUCAUUGGAUAUGCUAACUCUGACUAUGCUGGUGAUCGUGUGGACCGCAAGUCAACUUCUGGCACUUGUCAUUUCCUCGGACGAUCUUUGGUCUGUUGGUCCUCGAAGAAACAGAACUGCAUAUCACUGUCCACUGCGGAAGCUGAAUACAUUGCUGCUGGCUCUUGCUGUGCUCAACUGCUUUGGAUGAAGCAAACACUCAAGGACUAUGGCGUCAACGUGAAGAAUGUGCCUCUCCUCUGCGACAAUGAGAGUGCCAUCAAGAUUGCUCACAACCCAGUUCAGCACUCGAAGACAAAGCACAUUCAGAUUUGUCAUCAUUUUCUUCGUGAUCAUGUGUUGAAGGGCGACAUCUCCAUCGAGCACGUGAAGACUGAAGAACAGCUAGCUGAUAUCUUCACUAAGCCCUUGGAUGAGAAGAGAUUUAGCAAGUUGCGGUGUGAGCUAAAUAUCUUAGAAUCUUCGAAUGUUCUUUGAAAAGGACACACAUCCUAACACUUAUGCAAAAUUGAUGACUUAGAUGUGCAACACAUGAAGAAACGUUUUUCUUCAAUCAAUGAAGAAUAACACUCUAAGUGUGAAGAAAUUAAUGAAGAAUUUGAUUCUCAGAACCCUACGACAAUUGUACGCGGUGUCUGAAAUCAUCAUUCUUAUACGGUGGGUCACGCCACCACAAAAAGUUGAAAAUCUUCAAUUUGAAUUUUUCCUCAGUUUUGAAAUUCUUCAGUUUUUCAAAUUCUUCAACUUUUCAAAAUCUUCACUGUUUCCUUCGUUUUUCUUCAUUGGCUAUAUAUAUAUAUAUAUAUAUAUAUGAGUGUAUGUCCUCUACAGCAUUCACUUAUAGCUAUUUCUUCAAGUUGCUUUUUCUGCUAAGUGAAUGUGAUCGGACCCUUCCCCCUCUAUGCUAUACUCAACCCAAUCUAUUCACAAAUUCUACAUAUGCGUUCUAUUUGAAACUCGUUCAAAAUCUUCACUGUGUCCUUGUCAGCUGAAGAAAUUGCGAACGAAACUUUAAAACAAAUCUUAUCCAAAUUUUCGAUUUUGCCGCUCAAACCGUUCCGCAUCCCACAAUGCAUUAUUCUAUUCACCCACGAUCGUACACGAUCUCAACUACACAGUACGUGGGUGACACAUGUCGCGAGAAGGAGAAAGGGCAGGGGCACGUUCAUCCCAAAUCUUUGGGCGAAUAGUUUUUCACCGUGUCUAUAAAUACCCCUCUCCCCUUCCUCACUUCAUUUACUCCGCUCGAUCGCUACUCUCUCACUUGAGCUCCUCAAACCCUAGCGCCGCCGCUACUUCAUCGUCACCGGUGAGGAAGAGCUUCGCUGCCUCGACCUCGUCGCCGUCGUACUCACGCCGACCGCAGAAAUCUUCACUCCGCCGCCGCCGUAGCUGUCUUCCUCUGCCAAGUUAGGGCGUGGGAGAUCUAACCUGACGAACUUCACAUCUGUUCUUCUCAGUUCGUCGUGUUCUUCACUUCGGGUAAUUAAAAGUUACUUUUAUUACUCACUUUGAUUCUCAAACUUUCCUGAAAAUCUUCAAAGGUGUUUAUUCUUCAAAUCUUCACACAUAUGAACACCUCACAUCAUAUGAUCUUGAACUGUUUCUCUAAGCAAUCAUUUUCUUCAAGAUUCCCUAAUUGUGUGGAUCUUUGAUCUGUACAACUCUGGAACCUAAGACAAGAACGCUUAGUGAAAUUCCUCAAGGUUCAUCUGGUCAAAUUCCUCAAAACUUGUUUUUUUUCGAAAAACCUUCUCAGAACGCAUAUGACCUCUCCGAAUUCCUCGCACCUGUACUGUGUUCACAGGUACUCAUGUCUGUUGCUGAAUCACUAGGUUCUCAUCAACUUAACUCAUUUGCAGCGUUCCUCGAAGAAAAACUGCAUACUUCUUCAGAGAACUCGAUUGUUCAAAUUCCUCAACUGAAGAAUAUGGCAGACGGUAAGAGGCCGCAGAAAGGAGGAAAGAAACCUGAGGUUAUGACUGCGUUUGAAAUCCCUGAGGAAAUUUGUGCUGACUAUUGCACACCUGAUGAAGCAAAAUUUGGCAAAGAAAACAAAAAUCAGCGCAAGGUGCGCAUUCAGAGGAUUGAACGGAGAUGGGCAAGGGAAUGGAGGGAAUACAGAUAUGUGACUCCAAAGUACAUGAGGAAAUUCGCCCUCAAUCCUCCAUGCCCAAGAGCUCCAUUGGCACCUGGCCAAGUAGCUGACCCCACAAGCAUCAAACGUGGUGAGGACUUUCCUGAAGAAUGGGCUAAGCGCCAAGCUAAAUUGGCAAGACAAGCCAAGGAGGUAGUGAAGAAAUUCAAUGAGGAUUCUGCCACUGCUACUGCUACUGAGGCCUCGGUCACCGAGGAAAUCCAUGCCAAAGAAGCCUGCUCGUAAGCCAAGUGCUUCACCAACAGUGCCCUCACGGCAAAUUCCUCACAUUGCUACUGCUCCACCAAAAUCCUCAACAGCUCCUUCAAAGUCCUCAGCUCCUGUGCAUCUGGCUACAUGUCAAAGGACUACUGGUUUCUCGAUUGCCUCUGGUGUUUCAGCAAGUUCCUCAGCUGCACCAAUUUCCUCAUCAGGCCCCACACUGUUGAAGACCAAAGCAACAGCUGGACGAGGUCCUCGGCCAAGUCCAAAGAAGAAACAGGUCGCAUUCCAUGUGCCUUCUGAUGAUGAAGCUUCUGAUAAUGAACUUGCAGAAAUCAUCAGAGACAGACAGGUGAAGGCCGCUAGAGCCAAAGGCACAUCUGUGCCACUGCUUUUGGAUCCAAGAAAAAUCCUUGAUUACAUUGAUCUCUGGCACAAGGAUCCUAACACCCCUAUACCUGAUUUUCAUCUGACCCCUGGUCAAAGUCACAUGCUGACCCAUUUCAUCACUGAAGAGAAAUGGAAGUUUGAAAAGGCAAGAGAGAUCGGGAAAGCUCAAUACAGAAAGGAGAAGCUCCUGAAGAAAAACGUUGUCAGAAUGACACCUGAGGAACUUCUCCAGGCUCAGUCUGAAAUUCAAGCCCUCAGCAAAGACUUUGAUGCCUACUAUGCUGAUUGGCAAGGAGCUAAAGUAAGAUUCGUCAAUCUGACGAAGAAAUUCACAAAUGUUGCAGCCCCAUCGCAACAAGAAAAUCUUAAGGCUGCAUACUCUGCUUAGCCUGCUGAAGAACAUGCCAGCACCGCUGAUGCCUUUCAGCCUGCUGAAGAAAAUGCUCGUUCCAGGGCUGGUGAAGAAAUUCUAGCCGCUAAAGAAAUUGCCAGGGCAUCCACUAGUGGUGCGCCUGAAGAAACUGAAGAGAUCGGAGCAACUGCAUCAGUUGCGCCUGAAGAAAAUGAACCAGAUUCCUCAGCUCCUCCCGCGCCCACACCAACUCCAAUUCUUCCAUCUGCUUCUGAUGUGAAGAAGACCAAGGCUGCAGAGCGAGCUGCAGUGAAGAAAAGGAAGGCAUCAGCUGCGUUAAACUCUUCGGCUGUGAAGAAAAUGAAGCCAAUGACCAGCUCACUCGAAAAUCCAAUUGACGCUAUUCCGAUUUCCUCCAUGCCAUCAAAGGACCUUGUUCCUUUUGGAGAAGACUAUGAGAUCCCAAGCGGAUCUGAUGAAGAAAAUCAUUCUGCUGCUUCGUCAGAGCAGAUUGAUGAAGAAAUUGAAGUGGAAGCAAUCCCUUCAACCCCAAUCAUUUCCUCCCCUAUGCCUCAGUUCACAGCUGAAGAGGCCGGUGUUGAGGAACUUGAAGAAGAUGUGGAUAUUGGAAGCACAACACCAGUGAUGAACGAUGACUUUUGGGAAAGUCAGCAUCCAAAUUCUCCACUCUUCACCCCAAUCCAACAGAUACCUCAGUCCCCUGCUCCAACUGUUCAAAUGGGCUCUGAAGAAACUCAUCCCACUUCAUCUGUCCAUGAAGGAAUUCUAGCCACUAGUGCUGAUGAACCUACUGCUGCUGAUCCUCAGACUGCACCUGUUGAGGAACAAGAAAUUCCUCAGCUUGAAGAACCUGAGCUCGCGAUUCCUGAGGUGGUGAUGCAACUCACUGACACCCCUCUGCCAAAGCCAAAGAAUCCGUUCUCAAGCAAACAGAAGUUCAAGGCUGAAGAUUUCUAUGCCGAGCACGUAUUCUUCACUGAUUAUAAUCCAUAUGAUUCUGCUCGCAUAAGGAAGAAGCGUUUCUGGACUACCAGCCAAGCCAAUUUCUAUUCCUCAGUGCUCUUCAACAAAGACAAAGUCUUCGAUCAUGCACAUAUUCCUCAUGUGGACAUGGAGUCUCUGCCCGGCUUUGAGCCAGUCCUCAGUGUUCUUCACGACGCAGGACUUCUGAAUUUCUGCACUGAUAUCUGUGACUGGAAUGAAGAACUCAUUCUUCAAUUCUAUGCAACUCUGCACAUCAUCGGAGACGCUGAAGACGUGAACUCAUGGGUAUUAGACUGGAUGUCUGAAAAUACUCACUACAAGGCACCAGUAACUGAAUUGCUUCGUGCUCUACCACUCAGACCUCCACUUGAUGGUGCUCGUUGUGUCUACAAUGAACCAGAACUUUCAAAUCACUAUAUGCAAGUGCUGAUGAAGCCUUUGAAGCCAAGGCAGGCCCCACGAACCAAAUUCCUCGUCAAGGAAUUACUCUAUGUGCCUCGGACUGUCUAUCGAAUUCUGACGAAGGCAAUGAGUCCUAUCAAAGGCCACGACUCAAAUGAUGAAGAAGUCGUUGGCAUCAUGAAGAAUAUGCUUUUCAACAUCAUUCAUGGCGUUCCCGUCAACUUCCAUGAUUUCUUCAUGAGGACUCUGGCCAAUAUUGCUAUGUCACCAUUCGAGCUGAAGCCCUAUGCUCCUUGGAAUAUGAGAUUCAUCAGGGCAAGAUCUUCACUGAAUUACAAAGCUGACACUCUGAACCACGGUAGCUACUUGCCUCCCAUUGAAGUCCUCAAACGGACAACUUUAUCAGCUGAUGAUAAAGGCAAGGCCGCUGUUGUGAUCGAUGAAGGCAUUCGUCCAUUGGAUGGUCAAUUUCGCAAGGCUACAUCUUACUCUACCAAUGACGAUUCUGCCACACAUGACUCUACCGCAAAUACCUCAGCCAAGCAAAAUCCUCAAGCCACAGCACCCAGGGUGAUGACUGGCCGUGAGUUACUCCUCAGUCUUCAUCAGAAGGUUGAUCGCAAUCACAAAAGGGUAAAGCGUCAGUUUGGUGCAUUUCUUCACAAUAUGACCUCAACACACAAUGCAGUGAAGAAGAACCAAUACUACCUUCAUGAAACCUUCAACCGCACCUGGGAUGUCCUCACUCAUGUCUAUAGCGCUGAAGAACUGAAGACUAUGGGUCUCAAGGAAGAAUUUGACUGGUCUGCACCUCCUCCGAAGAAAUUCAAGAGGGUCAAAAUUCCUCCACUGGUGGCCAGCUCUUAUUCUUCAUCGCGUGACACUGAUGAGUAUGAAGAUUUGGACGACACUGCGGCAGGCCCUGCUACAACAAACAACCCCGACAACGCUGGCGCUCCUCCAUCGACUUGAAAUUCUUCAGGGGCGUUAGUCCUCAGUUUCAAUCCGUCUGGUCAUUUGAUGACAAAAGGGGAGAAAUCUGAGUUAGUCUUCAAGCGGGCCUAUAUUAAGGGCAUUUUUUUAAGUUACAACUCUCGUUCUUCUGAAACUUUUAUUUGGAUCGAGUUGUAAUCUUAAACCCGAUGGUGCGCUGAUACUUUUGUUGCAUUAUGCUUUGCAUGCUUAUUCCUCAUUAAUGACAUUGCACGCAUGCUGAAUCUCAUCAGGCACCACAUUUCAUCAUGCAUUUCAAAUUCUUCAUAUUAUAUAUCAAAUGCGUGUAUGAAUUACAAGAUAUAGGGGGAGAUCUCCAUGAUUCAACUCUUCAAAUGUGCAUUGCCUCAAAAGCAAAUUCCUCACUAUGCACAUCUUCAGGGGGAGUUCUUCUAUAUCUUGUAAUCAAAUUCCUCAAUAUCAGUGUAUACACUUCAUAUGUUUAUCCCCGUUGAAAACUUAACCUAUGUUGUCAUCAAUCACCAAAAAGGGGGAGAUUGUAAGUGCAUCUAGUGCCCCUUAGUGAUUUUGGUGUAUUGAAGACUUAUAGGUUAAGGGACUAAUGCGUUUGUGAGUGUACACAGGUCUAUAAGUCUAUGAGGAGUUUGAUAUUUACAGAGAAAGUCGGCCCCUAAAAAUGAAGUUCUUCAAUUGAAGACUUUGAUAUUUGGAAGACUUUCUGAAGACUUUGAAAGUGAAGAAAUUGGUGUGACCUUGAAGACUUGGUAUUCAUUUGUGGAACAUGAAGCGUGAAGACUUUUGUUUUCGUAGUUUCAUUUUCUCUUUCUUGAGUCAUAGGAAACACCGUACUGUUAAAGGGGGUCGAGGAAAUACUAAGGAAAAAUUUCCAUGUGAUGCUCAACUCAAAAUCCUACACCUACCAAUCCCUUCGAGUGAAGCCUUUGGAAAUCUCAUACAGUUCAGUCACUUUCUUCAGUGACAGAGACGAAGUUCUUCUGGUCGCUGACGAAUUUGUUCUGACUGAGGAGUUAGGAAUUCAUCAGUGCGAAUUACCUACACAGUGAGGAACAUGAUAGCCCUGAGGAAUUUGAGAGUCAAAUUUCCGACCGUUGCUGUGCUGCGCGCCAGCUGUCUCAAAAUAUCUUAUCCACCUAACGGUCAUAUCAUUGAAGGGCAUUUAUGUCUUAUCAUGUCGGGCUGCUCCCUAGGCUAUAAAUAGCCGCCCCCUACAACCACUAGCUGGUUGGCUGCUCCAAGAGAACUUGACACUUGUCAUUUGAGAGCAACCCAUCCUCCGAGGACUUUGAGCGAAAAUCAUCGAGUUAGGAAAACCCAAAACCAAACCCCUACAAACCCAAAGUGAUUGAGCAUCACUGAAGAAAUUGAUCCUGCGUGGAUCCGACGCUUGUCACCUUUGAAGACUGUGUUUCUUCCAGACGGUUAGGCGUCAAGGUCUAGAGCAUCCAAGAGGAAUUGUGGAUCGCCGAGUGACCAAGUCUGUGAAGGUUUGGAAGUCGCCUGAAGACUUACCACGAGUGAUUGGACGAGGUCUGUGUGACCUUAGUUCAAGGAGAAUACGGUGAGGACUGGGUGUCCUGAGUUGCGUGCUCAGCGACUAGGUGUCCGGGACUGUGUGUCCUCGAGUUUAAAUACUCAGCCGCUCCAACCAGACGUACAACUGAGACAGCAGUUGGAACUGGUCUACCAAAUCAUUGUCUUCACCAACCUAACUGGUUCUAUUUCCUCAACCCUUUCAUUUCCUCAUUACUGUGUUGAGUGUUUGUUCAUAUCUGUGUUUGAAGACUUUGACUGAAGACUUUCUCAAUUUCCUCAGUUCAAUUUCUUCAGUCUGUUUGUCUUCAUCUUGUGUUAUCCUAUGAUUACGCUUUCUGUACUCUGUGCUAGUCUUCAUUUCAUCAUGAUGACCAUGCUUGUAUUCUGUUAUGCUUACUUCUGAGUACUUAUUCCGCUGCUAAUAGUUCUUCACUAAGGAAUUUCCUCACCGGCAAAUUCCUCAGUGAAGAAUUCAUAAAAAUCGCCUAUUCACCCCCCCUCUAGUCGACAUAACGCACUUUCAUAAAGGCACGAAAUAACCAAGAGUGGAGCCGGUGGAGACAAGGAUGUGUUACCAAAGUUCCUUCCUUUUAAAGGGAAGUACGUCUCCGUUAGAGCGAUGUGGAGGCACAAUGCUCCCCAAGAAGCCACUAGGGCCACCGUAAUCUCCUCAUGCCCUCACACAAUGCGAGAUGCCGUGAUUCCACUAUUGGUGCCCUUGAAGGCGGCAAUCGAACCUUUACAAACAAGGUUGGGGCAAUCUCCACAACUUAAUUGGAGGCUCCCAACAACACCACGAAGCUUCACCACAAUGGACUAUGGCUCCGAGGUGACCUCAACCGUCUAGGGUGCUCAAACACCCAAGAGUAACAAGAUCCGCUAGGGAUUAGUGGGGGGAAUCGAAUAUCUCUUGGUGGAAGUGUAGAUCGGGGCCUUGUCACCCAAUCCCGAUCAAAUCAACAAGUUUGAUUGGCUAGGGAGAGAGAUCAGCCAAAAAUGGAGCUUGGAGCAACAAUGGAGGUUAGGGAUGGAAGAGGUGGUCAACUAGAGGUAGGAGACGCCCCUUUUAUAGUCAUGGAAGAGAUCCAACCGUUAUCCACAUGUUCAGCCUACGACAUGCGGUACUAUCGCUCCAGGAGGUACUACCGCAAGGCCAUGCGGUACUACCAUGGUGGACCACGGUACUUCCGCGGAAGCAGCAGAGGCUGGGACUUGCCUGGCUAAGAGCAGUACUUCCGCUAGCGCGGUACUACCGCUCCCCCUUGCGGUACUACCGCAAGGCAGGAAAGUCCUAGCCUACAAAGAGAGCGAAUGAAUAAAAAUACAAUCGUGCCUACUUCCGCUGAAAACGAAACAGUGCAAAAAUCUGACGUGGUACUACCGCUAAGACGCGAUACUACCGUAAUCUAGCUGAGCCAGGCCGCGCGCGGUACUACCGCGCACGAGGCGCGGUACUACCAUUGAGGUGCGGAUGUAAAAAAUUACAUCUGCUCCUACUACCGCGACGCAGCGGUACUAGGUAUGAGGGCCACGGUACUACGACUCCAGGGGAGCAGUACUACCAUGGGCUCCCGCGGUACUACCGCGCUGGACAUGCGGUACUACCGUGUGGGCGUGGAUGUAAAAAAUUACAUCCGCCCCUACUACCGUAUCGGAGCAGCACUAGGCCUGGGAGCCACGGUACUAAGGCUCCAGAGGAGCGGUACUAUCGUGAACCCCAGCGGUACUACCGCAGGUGCUUGCGGUACUACCGCUCCAUAGAGCAGUACUACCGCAAGUACAUCAUUAGCCGUCAGAGCAAGCACAAAGAGGAUAACGGAGGAAAGCUCCAAAGUGCAAGGGAAAGGUAGAGGCAAGGAAGGAAACGUGUACGUGAUGAUUCCACCCGAACCUUUUCGACGCGGACCCCCUCUGUACGGCUCUCCUAUGACUCAAAUCCACCAAAAAGAAACGUAGAACAACGCCGUCUUCAAUAGUCUUCGAGGGGCACCGAAUCGUCUCGUGCCUAGUGAUGAAGCGUCUGAGAAACUCAAGGCACACGAUUAGUCCGCAAAAGCAUUGUCAUCAAUCACCAAAACACCUAAGGGAUAAAUAUGCCCUUACAUAAAGGUUGAGGGAUGUCUUCUUCUUUCACUGCCGAAGGUUGAAACUCCAUGGCCUUCUUGAUCCCUUCAUCCUUGUUGAUCUCUUCUGGUUCUUCUCUUUUCAGCUCUAUCUUCAAUAGCCAAGCAUCCUUGUCUUCGUUGUUGAAGGAGGGCGACAUCAUGGUGCUCUUAAUCUGCAACAGAAACAACUCGAAAUGAAAACAGAGGAUAUUUGCGUGAUACGGUGGUUAAAACCUUCGGGAGUAUAUAUAAUGAAUUUUUACCGACCAAAAUACGUAACGUGCAAGAAAACAGAGUCUGGGAGGCACACGAGGUGCCCACGAGACAGGGGGCACGCCCAGUAGGGGGGGGGGCGCCCUCCACUCUCGUGGGGGCCUCGUGUCCCUUUCGGACUACUUCUUUCUUCCUAAAAUUCUUAAAUAUUCCAAAACUGAUAAAAAUUGCCAUUGGAGUUGUUUUGGAGUCGGUUUACUUACCGUACCACAUACCUAUACCUUUUCGGAGUCUGGAACAUUAUGGAAAGUAUCCCUUAUGUAUUCCUCAGGGGUUAUGGUUUCAAUGAUAUUAGUUUCAACAUUUAUAGGAUUACCUGAAAUAUAAUGUUUAAUUCUUUGACCGUUUACCACCCUUGGACUUGUGCCUUCGAAGUUGUUGAUUUUUAUAGCACCAGAACGAUAGACCUCCUUGAUAACGUAGGGACCUUCCCAUUUUGAGAGAAGUUUUCCUGCAAAAAAUCUUAAACGAGAGUUGAAUAAUAAUACAUAAUCUCCUACGCUAAACUCACAAGUUUGUAUCCUUUUAUCAUGCCAGCGUUUGACUUUUUCUUUGAAUAGCUUGGCAUUCUCAUAUGCUUGGGUUCUCCAUUCAUCAAGUGAGCUAAUAUCAAACAACCUUUUCUCACCGGCAAGUUUGAAGUCAUAAUUGAGCUCUUUAAUAGCCCAAUAUGCCUUAUGCUCAAGUUCAAGAGGUAAAUGACAUGCUUUUCCAUAAACCAUCUUAUAUGGAGACAUACCCAUAGGAUUUUUCUAUGCGGUUCUAUAGGCCCAUAAUGCAUCAUCAAGUUUUUUGGACACUUUCUUUCUAGAUCUAUUCAUAGACUUUUGCAAAAUUAAUUUGAGCUCUCUAUUGCUCAACUCUACUUGACCACUAGACUGCGGAUGAUAAGGAGAUGCGAUUCUAUGAUUGACAUCAUACUUAGCAAGCAUCUUACGGAAAGCACCAUGAAUAAAGUGUGAACCACCAUCAGUCAUAAGAUAUCUAGGAACUCCAAACCUUGGAAAAAUAACUUCCUUAAGCAUUUUAAUAGAAGUUUUAUGAUCAUCACUACUAGUUGGAAUAGCUUCUACCCACUUAGUAACGUAAUCAACAGCAACUAAAAUAUGUGUAUAACCAUUAGAGGCAGGAAAAGGUCCCAUAUAUUCAAAGCCCCAAACAUCAAAUGGUUCAAUAAUAAGAGAAUAAUUCAUAGGCAUUUCUUGACAUCUACUAAUGUUACCUAUUCUUUGACAUUCAUCACAAGAUAAGACAAACUUACGAGCAUCUUUGAAGAGAGUAGGCCAAUAAAAACCAGAUUGUAGUACCUUGUGUGCAGUUCUGUCUCCAGCGUGGUGUCCUCCAUAGGAUUCAGAGUGACACUUGCGUAGAAUCUAUUCCUGUUCAUGCUCAGGCACACAACAUCUAAUAACACCAUCUACUCCUUCUUUAUAAAGGUGUGGGUCAUCCCAGAAGUAAUGUCUUAAAUCAUAAAAGAACUUUUUCUUUUGUUGGUAUGUGAAACUAGGCGGUAUAAAUUUAGCAACAAUGUAAUUAGCAUAAUCAACAUACCGAGGAGCAGUACGAGAAGCAUUAACGACUGCUAAUUUUUCAUCAGGAAAGCUAUCAUCAAUAGGCAGUGGGUCAUCAAGAACAUUCUCUAACCUAGACAAGUUGUCUGCAACGGGGUUCUCAGCUCCCUUUCUAUCAAUAAUGUGCAGGUCAAAUUCUUGGAGCAAGAGAACCCAUCUAAUGAGUCUAGGCUUAGCAUCUUUCUUUUCCAUAAGAUAUUUAAUAGCAGCAUGAUCAGUGUGAAUAGUAACUUUAGAAUCAACAAUAUAAGGUCUAAACUUAUCACAUGCAAAGACAACUGCUAAGAACUCUUUUUCAGUAGUAGCAUAAUUUCUUUGGGCGGUGUCAAGAGUCUUACUAGCAUACUGGAUAACAUUCAAUUUCUUAUCGACUCUUUGCCCUGGAACAGCACCUACAGCAUAAUCACUAGCAUCACACAUAAUUUCAAAAGGUAAAUUCCAAUCAGGUGGCUGAACAAUAGGUGCAGUGAUCAAAGCUUUCUUAAGUAUUUCAAAUGCUUCUACACAAUCAUCAUCAAAGACAAAAGGAAUAUCUUUUUGCAAUAAAUUAGUCAGAGGCCUAGUGAUUUUAGAAAAGUCCUUAAUGAACCUCCUAUAAAAACCGGCGUGACCAAGGAAACUUCUUAUACCUUUUAUGUCCUUGGGACAUGGCAUCUUUUCAAUAGCAUCAACCUUGGCUUUGUCAACUUCAAUACCUCUCUCGGAGAUCUUGUGCCCCAAGACAAUGCCUUCAUUAACCAUAAAGUGACACUUUUCCCAAUUCAGGACGAGACUAGUGUCUUUGCAUCUCUGCAAAACUCGAUCAAGGUUGCUCAAACAAUCAUCAAAAGAGGAUCCAUAAACAGAGAAAUCAUCCAUGAAUACCUCACAAAUCUUUUCACAAAAAUCAAAGAAUAUAGCCAUCAUGCAUCUUUGAAAGGUAGCAGGUGCAUUACAUAAACCAAAAGGCAUACGUCUAUAAGCAAAAGUACCAAAAGGGCAAGUAAAAGUAGUCUUAGAUUGAUCCUUCGCCGACACAGGUAUUUGAGAGAAGCCAGAAUAACCAUCUAGAAAGCAGAAAUGUGUGUGUUUGGAUAGUCUUUCUAGCAUUUGAUCAAUAAAAGGUAAAGGGUAAUGAUCUUUCUUAGUAGCUUUAUUUAACUUACGGAAAUCAAUUACCAUCCUAUAACCUGUAAUAAUUCUUUGCGGGAUCAAUUCGUCUUUAUCAUUAGGAACAACGGUAAUACCUCCCUUUUUAGGGACACAAUGGACAGGGCUUACCCAUUCACUAUCAGCAACGGGAUAAAUAAUACCUGCCUCAAGGAGCUUUAGUAUCUCCUUUCUUACCACUUCUUUCAUCUUGGGAUUUAGUCAUCGUUGAGGAUCUCUAACUGGUUUGGCAUCGUCCUCCAAUUUAAUUUUGUGUUGGCAUAACGUGGGACUAACGCCCUUAAGAUCAUCCAGAGUAUAUCCAAUAGCUGCUCGGUGCUUCUUCAGAGUUUUCAAUAAUCUUUCUUCUUCUUUCUUUGAAAGGUAGCACUAAUAAUAACAUGAUAUAUUUCCUUUUCAUCAAGAUAAGCAUACUUAAGAUUAUCAGGUAACGGUUUGAGUUCGAACACGGGAUCACCCUUGGGUGGAGGGGGAUCCCCAAGAAUUUCAACGGGAAGGUUAUGUUUCAGCAUAGGCUCCUGUUUAAGGAACACUUCAUCUAUUUCCUUUCUUUCCUUCAUAAACAUAUCGUUUUCAUGGUCUAGCAAAUAUUCUUCUAACGGAUCAGUAGGAGGAACAACAAUGGAAGCAAGACCAAUAAUCUCAUCCUUACUAGGUGGUUCCCUAUCACGAGGUUGUCUACGAAACUUAGCAAAAUUAAACUCAUGAGACAUACCAUCUAUGCCAACUGUGACAGUAUCUUUUUCACUAUCAAUCUUAGCACUAGCUGUAUUCAAAAAGGGUCUACCGAAAAUAAUGGGACAAAAAUCAUCUUGUGGGGAACCAAGAAGAAGAAAAUCAGCAGGGUAUUUAACCUUCCCACACAAGACUUCAACAUCUCUAACAAUCCCAAAGGGUUUAAUGGUAUCCCUAUUAGCAAGCUUAAUAGUAACAUCAAUGUCUUCUAAUUCAUUGGGUGCAAUGUCAUGCAUAAUUUCUUGAUAUAAGGUAUAAGGUAUUGCACUAGCACUAGCACCCAUAUCACAUAAGCCAUGAUAACAAUGAUCUCCUAUUUUAACAGAAAUAACUCGUAUGCCUACGACAGGUCUACGUGUCUUAGUAUCUGGUCUAGCAAUAUUAGAAGCCUAACCACAGAAAUAAAUAACAUGCCCAUCUAAAUCAUCAUCCAAGAGAUCUUUAACCAUAGCAAUACUAGGUUCAACAUUAAUUUGCUCAGGAGGUGUAUAAGUCCUAGUAUUACUCUUACAAACAACAGUCGAAGCCUUAGCAUGAUCUUUUAUCCUAACAGGAAAAGGAGGUUUCUCAACAUAAGUAGUAGGAACAAUAGGAUCACUAUAGGUGAUAGUAUUUUCUUCGACUGUAAUAGGUGCAACUAUUUUCACUUCAACAUGAGGAUUAUAUUUAAACCACUUCUCUUUAGGGAGAUCAAUGUGAGUAGCAAAAGAUUCAUAGAAAGAAGCUACUAUCUCAGAGUCAAGUCCAUACUUAGAGCUAAAUCCAUGAAAAGCAUCAGUAUCCAUAAAAGAUUUAACACAAUCGAACUUAGGUGUCAUACCUGACUCCUUACCAUCGUCGGAACCCCAAUCUUUAGAGUUGCAUUUAAUUCUUUCCAAUAAUUCCCAUUUGAAAUCAAUAGUCUUCAGCAUAUAAGAACCAGCACAAGAAGUAUCGAGUAGGUUGCGAUUAUCAAGAGAAAGCCGAGCAUAAAAGUUCUGAAUAAUCAUUUCCCGGGAGAGCUCAUGAUUGGGGCAUGAAUAUAACAUUGACUUAAGCCUCCCCCAAGCUUGAGCGAUGCUUUAUCCUUCGUGAGGCCAGAAAUUAUAUAUGUAAUUACGAUCACGAUGAACAAGAUGCAUAGAAUAGAAAUUCUGGUGAAACUCCAACUUCAAUCGCUUAUAAUUCCAAGAUCCCGUAUCAUCACAUAGCCUAUACCAUGUCAAUGCAUCUCCCUUAAAAGAUAAAGGGAAGACCUUACUUUUGACAACAUCAUCGGGAAUACCUGCAAGCUUAAAUAAUCCACAGACUUCAUCCACAAAGAUAAGGUGUAAAUCGGGAUGCAAUGUUCCAUCUCCUGCAAAUGGAUUAGCUAGCAGUUUCUCUAUCAUACCCGAAGGAAUCUCAAAGUAAACAUUUUCAUAAAGUUCAGAAGGUUGAGGAGCAACUCUUUGCUCUUCUGGUCGAGGUGAAGAUACCCCGAACAAGCCCCUCAAAGGAUUAGUUUCCAUAGUGACAAGUAAUAGAAAAUUUCAGCACACUAUAUAAAUGUUUCCUUACCAAGUUCCACUCACCAAAAGCACUAUACUCCCCGGCAACGGCGCUAGAAAAGAGUCUUGAUGACCCACAAGUGUAGGGGAUCAAUUGUAGUCCUUUCGAUAAGUAAGAGUGUCGAACCCAACGAGGAGCAGAAGGAAAUGAUAAGAGGUUUUUAGUAAGGUUUUCUCUGCAAGCACUGAAAUUAUAGGUGAUAGAUAGUUUUGUGAUAAGAUAAAUGGUAACGAGUAACAAGUAAAUAAAGUGCAGCAAGGUGGCCCAAUCCUUUAUGUAGCAAAGGAUAAGCCUGGACAAUUUCUAAUAAUGAGGAAAGAGCUCCCGAGGACACAUGGCAAUUAUCGUCAAGCUAGUUUUCAUCACGUUCAUAUGAUUCACGUUCGGUACUUUGAUAAUUUAAUAUGUGGGUGGACCCGUGCUUGGGUACUGCCCUUACUUGGACAAUCAUCCCACUUAUGAUUAACCCCUAUUGCAAGCAUCCGCAACUACAACAGAAGUAUUAAGGUAAACCUAACCACAACAUUAAACAUAUGGACCCAAAUCAGCCCCUAAUGAAGGAACACAUAAACUAGGGUUUAAGCUUCUGUCACUCUAGCAACCCAUAAUCUACUUAUUACUUCCCUAUGCCUUCCUCUAGGCCCAAAUAAUGGUGAAGUGUCAUGUAGUCGACAUUCACAUAACACCACUAGAGGAAAAGACAACAUACAUCUCAUCAAAAUAUCGAACGAAUACCAAAUUCACAUGACUACUAAUAGCAAGACUUCAUCCAUGUCCUGAGGAACAAACGUAACUACUCACAAAGCAUAUUCAUGUUCAUAAUUAGAGGAGUAAUAAUAUGCAUAAAGGAUCUAAACAUAUGACCUUCCACCAAGUAAACCAAUUAGCAUCAACUACAAGGAGUAAUCAACACUACUAGCAACCCACAAGUACCAAUUUGUGGUUUUGAUACAAGAUUGGAUACAAGAGAUGAACUAGGGUUUUGAGAGGAGAUGGUGCUGGUGAAGAUGUUGAUGGAGAUUGACCCCCUCUUGAUGAGAGGAUCGUUGGUGAUGAUUUUUCCCCUCCCGGAGGGAAGUGUCCCCGACAGAACAGCUCCGCCAGAGCCCUAGAUUGGUUCCGCCAAGGUUCCGCCUCAUGGCGGUGGAGUUUCAUCUCGUAAGCUUGCCCACAAUUUUUUCCAGGGUAAAAGCUAUGAUAUAGCAGAAGAUGGACACCGGGGGCCCACCAGGGGAUCCAGGAGACAAGGGGGCACGCCCAGUAGGGGGGGGGGGGUUGCCCCCCACUCUCCUGGAUGAGGUGUGGGCCCUUGGUGUAUUUCUUUCGCCCAAAAAUUCUUAUUAAUUCCAAAAAGAUGUUUCGUGGAGUUUCAGGACUUUUGGAGCUGUGCAAAAUAGGUUUCCAAUGUUUCCUCCUUUUCCAGCCAGAAUUCCAGCUGCCGGCAUUCCCCCUCUUCAUGGUAAACCUUGUAAAAUAUGAGAGAAUAGCCAUAAGUAUUGAGAUAUAAUGUGUAAUAACAACCCAUAAUGCAAUAAAUAUUGAUAUAAAAGCAUGAUGCAAAAUGGACGUAUCACGGAGUACAUAGCUGCUUCGGAAGCAGCAAAUGAAGGAGUCUGGAUGAAGGAGUUCAUAUCUGAUCUAGGUGUCAUACCUAGUGCAUCGGGUCCAAUGAAAAUCUUUUGUGACAAUACUGGUGCAAUUGCUUUGGCAAAGGAAUCCAGAUUUCACAAGAGAACCAAGCACAUCAAGAGAUGCUUCAAUUCCAUCCGCGAUCAAGUCAAGGAGGAAGACAUAGAGAUUUGCAAGAUACAUACGGAUCUGAAUGUUGCAGACCCGUUGACUAAGCCUCUCUCAUGAGCAAAAAAUGAUCAGCACCAAGACUCCAUGGGUGUUAGAAUCAUUACUAUGUAAUCUAGAUUAUUGACUCUAGUGCAAGUGGGAGACUAAAGGAAAUAUGCCCUAGAGGCAAUAAUAAAGUUGUUAUUUAUAUUUCCUUAUAUCAUGAUAAAUAUUUAUUAUUCAUGCUAGAAUUGUAUUAACCGGAAACUUAGUACAUGUGUGAAUAUAUAGACAAACAAAGUGUCACUAGUAUGCCUCUACUUGACUAGCUCGUUGAAUACAAGAUAGUUGUGUUUCCUAGCCAUAGACAUGAGUUGGUCAUUUGAUUAACAGGAUCACAUCAUUAGAGAAUGAUGUGAUUGACUUGACCCAUUCCGUUAGCUUAGCACUUGAUCGUUUAGUUUGUUGCUAUUGCUUUCUUCAUGACUUAUACAUGUUCCUAUGACUAUGAGAUUAUGCAACUCCCGAAUACCGGAGGAACACUUUGUGUGCUACCAAACGUCACAACGUAACUGGGUGAUUAUAAAGGUGCUCUACAGGUGUCUCCGAUGGUACUUGUUGAUUUGGCAUAGAUCAAUAUUAGGAUUUGUCACUCCGAUUGUCGGAGAGGUAUCUCUGGGCCCUCUCGGUAGUGCACAUCACUAUAAGCCUUGCAAGCAAUGUGACUAAUGAGUUAGUUGCGGGAUGAUGCAUUACGGAAUGAGUAAAGAGACUUGCCGGUAACGAGAUUGAACUAGGUAUUGAGAUACCGACGAUCGAAUCUAGGGCAAGUAACAUACCGAUGACAAAGGGAACAACGUAUGUUGUCAUGCGGUUUGACCGAUAAAGAUCUUCGUAGAAUAUUAGGAGCCAAUAUGAGCAUCCAGGUUCCGCUAUUGGUUAUUGACCGAAGACAUGCCUCAAUCAUGUCUACAUAGUUCUCAAACCCGUAGGGUCCGCACGCUUAACGUUUGGUGACGAUCAGUAUUAUGAGUUUAUGUGUUUUGAUGUACCGAAGGUUUUUUGGAGUCCCAGAUGAGAUCACGGGCAUCACGAGGAGUCUCAAAAUGGUCGAGACAUAAAGAUUGAUAUAUUGGAAGGUUAUAUUCGGGCACCGGAAGGGUUCCGGGGAUCACCGCAUAAAUACCGGAGUACCGGGAGGUUACCGGAACCCCACAGGAAGUAUAUGGGCCUUAAUGGGCUUUAGGGAGAGAGAGAGGGGCUGGCUAGGGCUGGGCCACGCGCCCCCUCCUUCCUUCUCCUCCUCUCCUUCCCUUCCCCCUUCUCCUAUUCCUACUAGGAAAGGGGAGUCCUACUCCCGUGGGAGUAGGACUCCCCCCUUGGCGAGCCCUCCUCCUAGGCUGGCCGCCUCCCCCCUUGCUCCUUUAUAUACGGGGGCAGGGGGCAUCCCAAGAUUCACAAGUUGAUCAUUGAUCGUUAGCCGUGUGCGGUGCCCCCUCCAGCAUAAUCCACCUCGGUCAUAUCGUUGCGGUGCUUAGGCGAAGCCCUGCGUCGGUAGCUUCAUCAACACCGUCAUCACGCCAUCGUGCUGACGGAACUCUCCCUCGAAGCUCUACUAGAUCGUGAGUUCGUGGGACGUCACCAAGUUGAACGUGUGCAUAUUGCGGAGGUGCCGUACGUUCGGUACUAGGAUCGGUCGAUCAUGAAGACGUACGACUACAUCAACCGCGUUGUCAUAAUGCUUCCGCUUACGGUCUACGAGUGUACGUGGACAACACUCUCCCCUCUCGUUGCUAUGCAUCACCAUGAUCUUGCGUGUGCGUAGGAGUUUUCUUGAAAUUACUAUGUUCCCCAACAUGCGCCGGAGGCUGGGGGGCCUUUAGUCCUGGUUUGUAACACCAACCGGGAUUGAAGGUUUUUUUUAUUUUUUCGAAAAAAGUUUGAGUUUCAAUUCGUCUAACAUCCUGGCCGGUCACCCAUUGUAACGCCCCGGAUUUGAUGCGCCAGGUGUCUCCUAGUUAUUCACCGUAGUUGCCAUGUCAUUUCCUUGCGUGUUGCAUUUUUCCAUGUCAUCAUCUGCAUUUCAUCUGCAUGUUUUUCAAAACUUGCAUCCAUUCGGGUCCUCCCGGUUCUCUCCGUUGUCCGUUCGGAGUCCAGACCACAGUCGUACGCGCCUGUCGCCCCUCUCUGACCUUGUUUUGUGAGCCGCCGAAAAACCUUCUCGGAAUGGGUCGAGAUUUGCCGAGUGGCCUUGGUAUAUCACCGGUAGACCGCCCGUCAAAUUUCGUUCCAUUUGGAGGUCGUUUGAUGCCCCAACGGUUAACCGCGUAGCCCGAAACCCCCUUCUCUUUGCAGCCCAGCCCCUCUUCACCACAGCCCAUGAGCCCAUCCAAACCCCCUCCAUGCUCUCGGUCGUUCUAUCACGAUCGUGUGGGCGAAAACCGCACCCCAUUUGGACUCUCCUAGCUCCCUCUACCUAUAUAAACACCCCCUCCCCCGAAAUUUCGGAUCAAAGCCUACCCUAACCCUAGCCUUCUCCCUCCUCGCGCCACCGGACACAUCUCCCCCGCCAACGGACAUGUCCACCCGCCGCCCCGUCCAAUAGGACACCGCCACGUGUCCCCGCCACCGCANNNNNNNNNNNNNNNNNNNNNNNNNNNNNNNNNNNNNNNNNNNNNNNNNNNNNNNNNNNNNNNNNNNNNNNNNNNNNNNNNNNNNNNNNNNNNNNNNNNNNNNNNNNNNNNNNNNNNNNNNNNNNNNNNNNNNNNNNNNNNNNNNNNNNNNNNNNNNNNNNNNNNNNNNNNNNNNNNNNNNNNNNNNNNNNNNNNNNNNNNNNNNNNNNNNNNNNNNNNNNNNNNNNNNNNNNNNNNNNNNNNNNNNNNNNNNNNNNNNNNNNNNNNNNNNNNNNNNNNNNNNNNNNNNNNNNNNNNNNNNNNNNNNNNNNNNNNNNNNNNNNNNNNNNNNNNNNNNNNNNNNNNNNNNNNNNNNNNNNNNNNNNNNNNNNNNNNNNNNNNNNNNNNNNNNNNNNNNNNNNNNNNNNNNNNNNNCGGCGCCCCGCCGCCUCGAACUCGCCUCGCCGCCGGCCUCUCUGCGCCGCGCCGCCCGCCUCCCUUGCCGUCGUUCGGUGUCUCGGCCCUCGCCCGCGCGCCACUCGGCUGCGCCUCGCCUCCGGCCGCCGGAGCACGCCGGAGGAGCCCCACGCCGCGCCUCCCCACCGUCCCAUGCCUCCCUCGGAGGUACUCACCGUCGCCGGAGUUCAUUCCCCGGCCGGAUGCACCGGAGGGUGGACGAGAUCCAUCGAGAUCCCAACCAAACACCACCUCCCCACGCUCGGAUCCCUCCAUCUCGGAUCCUCCCUGUCCCACUCUUCGCGAGGGUAAAAAGACUGCCAAGUCCCUGAAAUUGUAUCAGCAUGUUGCAUACUUUGACCUGCCAUAACUUUGUGUGUACUACUCCAUUUUGCAUGCAUGAUAUAUCAAAAUUUUUAUUGUGAGAUGCUCUUAAUUUUGUUCCAUUGAGCCACGCUUGUUUGUGUCCAUCUUGAUGCCCAAAUCAUCGUUUCAAGAGUGCUAUAAGAUGUUAACUGCUGUCUUCUAACAGAACUUGGUGAUUUGUCUUUUUCAUUGCAUUUUGUGUGUGCACCCUAUGAGCUUGAUGUCUACAUGUGUUUUGAGCUAAAACAUGCCGUCUCUACAGUCGUGCAAUCCAUGUAUUUUUGUCAAUCUUGUAGUGAGUGCGUCAAGCUCGUGAAGUUUGAUACUUGAUGUUACAGUUUUGCUAGUCUGAAUCUGCUAUAUCAUGAUGCCAUGUAAACCUGCUGCUACAAGUCAUUCUAUGCAUAAUCAGGAGAUGUUCACUAAGGAUAUUCUGUUAUUAAUGUCAUGCUCUCUCCAUCAGUGCCCCUGGUUGCAUUUAUAGCCUGCUGUAGCUUGUUGUAAUCUUGCUCCAAACUUGCUAAAUAAUGUUGCUGUCAGCCUGUUAACAUUAAGUUCAGUUUUGCCAUGAGCUUUGCUAGUGAUCCAUGCACCCUAUGAACUUGUUCUUGGCAUGUUUAGCUUAUAAAUUUGUCGUAUUACUGUUGAUCACCUUUUCAUGCCGUAUAUUGCUCUAUGGUGAGUUGUACAAACUCACCAACAUGGCUACUUAUUGUUGUCCCUGCCAUGUCUGAAUCUGUCAUAUCACUUGCCAUGUUUGCAUGGAUGCUACCAUGUUUUCUGUUGAUCUUUGGAAUUAGUUCGGUAAGAAAGUUUUGUUCUUUGUCUUUAGUAUUAGCAUGCCAUGCCUUUGUUUGCCAUGUUAAGUUCCUGUAACAUGUUGUUUAAUAGCUCUAAACAUUGCAAGCUUAUGUUAUUUCUGCCAUGCACAGUGAUCUCUGCCAAGUCUGUGAAACUGUUAUUAUUUGCAAUCUUUCCAUGUCCUUUUGAGCAUGUUAUAAUGUUUUCUGGAGAUAGCUCAGUGUUCAUGUUUUGUAAUGCUUUACCUGUACUUCAUGCCCAUGCUAUUUGUUUUCAUGUUGAGAUGCUGUAGCAUAUUGUUUUGAUGCUUGCUAGAUGCCUAGUUGCUCUUUUGGACAGCUUGUCCUUUUAACUCGUUUCACGUGUAUGUGUUGAACCGUUGCUCCAUUUUGAGUGUGCUUUAUAUGAAACUUGCUUGAUUUUGCAUAUAGUUUCAUCUUAUCAUGUUGCAUCCUUGUUUUGAUAGUGUUUGCUUGAUGUUUGGAUGCCUUUUGCACCAAUGCCAUGCUUAACUUGUUUUGCUCAUAUCUUCUAGGUCGUAGCUCCGAAUUAAAUGAACUUUAUAUGUAACUUGACUAGAAUCUCGUGUAGAUCAUCUUGGUGCAUCUUAACUUGCUGUUUAACAACUUGAACAUAAGGUUUAUUCAGUUCUGGACCAAUUUCUAAAUUUGCAUAUAAGGACUUACCGGAUUUGUUAUAUGUUGUUUCCGGCCUCAUUUAAACUUGCCUUGAUAUGUUGUUCUUGUUUGCAUCAUCUCUUGUAAUGAGUAGCUUCAUGUAGCCUUUGUCAUGCAUCAUACUUGGUUGAGCAUCGUGUCAUGGUUAUGUGUUGCGUGUUUACCUUGUUGUUUGCUUCUUUCUCGUUGUGCUCCUUCUCGUUAGUUCCUGUUUCGUUGCGAUCAUGAGGAUUCGUUCGUCUACGCUUGGUUCGUCUUCGUGGCUUCAUCUUCUUCAUGGACUCGUUCUUCUUCCUUGCGGGAUUUCAGGCAAGAUGACCGUCACCUUGGAUCUCAUUACUAUCAUUGCUAUGCUAGUUGCUUCGUUCUAUCGCUAUGUUGCGCUUCCUAUCACUUGUUCUUCAAGCCUUCCCAAAUUCCCAUGUCAACCUCUAACCUUUUCACCCUUCCUAGCGAACCAUUGCUUGGCUAUGUUACCGCUGUUGCUCAGCCCCUCUUGUAGCGUGGUUAGUUGCAGGUGAAGUUGAAGAUUGCUCCAUGGUGGACAUGAUUUUGUUGGGAUAUCACAAUAUCUCUUAUUUAAUUAAUGCAUCUAUAUACUUGGUAAAGGGUGGAAGGCUCGGCCUUAUGCCUGGUGUUUUGUUCCACUCUUGCCGCCCUAGUUUCUGUCAUACCGGUGUUAUGUUCCUUGAUUUUGCAUUCCUUACGCAGUUGGGUGAUUUAUGGGACCCCCUUGACAGUUCGCUUUGAAUAAAACUCCUCCAGCAAGGCCCAACCUUGGUUUUACCAUUUGCCUCACCACCACCUAUUACCUUUUCCUUGGGUCGGCCAAUACGAGGGUCAUCUUUAUUUUAGCCCCCCCUAGGCCAGUGCUUCUCUAAGUGCUGGUCCGAACCAGAGCCCUUUGCAGCGCCCCCUCAGGGAAACUUGAGGUCUGGUUUCAGUUGUACGGAUUGCUCAUCUGUUGUUGCCCUGAGAACGAGAUAUGUGCAGCUCCUAUCAGGAUUGUCGGCACAUCGGGCGGCUUUGCUGGUCUUGUUUUACCAUUGUUGAAAUGUCUUGUAAACCGGGAUUCCGAGACUGAUCGGGUCUUCCUGGGAGAAGGAAUAUCCUUCGUUGACCGUGAGAGCUUGUGAUGGGCUAAGUUGGGUCUGCAGGGUAUAAACUUUCGAGAGCCGUGCCCGCGGUUAUGUGGCAGAUGGGAAUUUGUUAACGUCUGGUUGUAGAUAAUUUGACACCAGAUUCGAAUUAAAACGCAUCAACCGCGUGUGUAGCUGUGAUGGUCUCUUUUCGGCGGUGUCUGGGAAGUGAACACGGUUUUGGGUUAUGUUUGACAUAAGUAGGAGUUCAGGAUCACUUCUUGAUCAUUGCUAGCUUCACGACCGUUCCGUUGCUCCUCUUCUCGCUCUUAUUUGCGUAUGUUAGCCACCAUAUUAUGCUUAGUCGCUGCUGCAACCUCACCACUUUACCCCUUCCUUUCCCAUUAAGCUUUGCUAGUCUUGAUACCCAUGGUAAUGGGAAUGCUGAGUCCUCGUGGCUCACAGUUUACUACAACAAUAGUUGUAGGUACAGGUUAUGCGAUGAUCAUGACGCAAGAGCGAUGUUUGCUUGUUUUGGAGUUUUUCUUCUGCUUCUUCUUCGAUCAGGGGAUAGAUUCCAGGUCGGCAGCCUGGGCUAGCAGGGUGGAUGUCGUUUGAGUUUCCGUUUGUGUUUCAUCCGUAGUCGGAUGGUGCUCUUUUGUAAGAUGAUGUUGUAUUCGUGUGGCAUUGUAUGCCUUUGUAUGUAUCCCCAUCUAUUAUGUAAUGUUGAUGUAAUGAUAUCCACCUUGCAAAAGCGUAUCAAUAUGCGGUUCUAUCCUUGGUGGGACCUUCGAGUCUCUUUAGGAUAGUAUCGCAUAUUGGGCGUGACAAGUUGGUAUCAGAGCCUCGACCGACCAUAGGAGCCCGCUUGAUUGAUCGUGUAGUUUGGCCGUUGUCGAGUCUAGAAGAAAACUGUUUUCGGAGUCUAGUUAUUUUGGAGAGUAGGAAUUCUUUUACUCCUCAGCCCCUUCGUCGCUCUGGUGAGGAAUCUUGACAUAGGUGUUUUGAAUUACUCCUAUUCCCCUUCAAAAUUUUCUUUAGGAUCACGCAGUUGGUUUUUCGAUCGUUGGUUCUCAGCUCUUUUCAUCCGGUGCAUUUCUCGUCAAGUUGACUCAAGCCUCUUCAUCUUUGCCAAGUUCAAUCCUCAGUUGUUUUCUUUUUCCCACCCGCCCACCUCUUUUCAUCUCGGAGUCGGACUCCGUAAUCGAGUAUCCAUCCUACUCGUGCGAAGCAUUUGCAUUCUUUCAACCGGUGUUUCCUCUUGAAGUUAUUCAUCGGUUUUUCCCCUUCCAAGUUGCCUUUGUUUUCCCGCCCUCCCACCCUCUUCUUCCCAGAGCCUGAGUCUGUUUCGACCAUCAAUUUCAUUCGUACGGAGCCUCUUCAGUCUUCCCUCAAUCAUUUCAACUAGUGAAUUCUCGUCUCGGUGGACAUUCUUCAUCUCUUCUCCGGUGGAUUCAAUUCCAUUUUUCAAUAGUGAUUAUAUUCUUUCCCUCGGCUCCUUGUUCGUUCGCCUCUCGCCAGUUUAUCCUUCCGGAGUGUGCAAGACAUCUCAGGAGAUUGGCCUGUGUUCGAAUUAAUUCAAGGUUAUUACCUCAUUUAAAUAUUUCAAUUGUUCCGGUGCAUCAUCUAUCUGUUCAACAUCCCUUUCCAAUGGUGUUUUUCUCUUUAGUGGGCCCUAACCCACAGGUCUUUUCCUAGGAUCUUACCUGACUCUUCUAAUUAUUCCGGAUCCAUUCGUAAUUCUAUUCGAGUUUGACGUAAGAAUGAAUUUCAUCAGUCACAUGCCUUCUCCAAGAUCAUUUUCGAAUUCUUUUCAUUGUUGGCUCAACCUCUUCGCUUGUCAUGCUCCUGGAGUGUCUCAGUAAUUUUUGUGGCGUUCCUCAUCGCCAUUUCAAGAUAGAACAAGAGUUCCUCUUAAAUCUUGUCUGUUCUCUCGAAGUUUCGUGGUUCUUGCUUCAUGUUAUCCUCGCGAAUUAUUUCAAUUUGUCAGAAAUUCUUUUAAACAUCCGGAGUAUGUCAGGAGUUGUUUUCCGUUUCUUUUCACUGGAGGCCAUCGUCCCAAAAGAAUUCUUAGUCCUCACAUUUCAGCUAUCGUUAUCCAAUUAUCCCGGUGCUUCGUUCAAGUGUUCUUUAAUCAGCUCAUGAUCUCUUUGUUCUUUUGCAUCUAAAUCCCCUCGAGCAUAUUGGUUCUUCUAAUUCUUCCCGGUGAUUCAUUCUCUUUCUUCAAUCAUUUCUCUAAUUCUUACGGUGGUUCGUUCAAGAUUCUUUUUCUUUGAUUAUCAUAUUAAUUCAUUUGUUCUUUUCAAUCCUACCGCUGGUUCAUGAAGACCUUCUCAAGUUUGCGAUAUGUCACUUCUCAAUCCUUUUUUAAGAAGAAUAAGUAGUAUGAAAAAUCCAUUGCUUGUCAUCAAUUUAAUUUGAUGAAGGAUAAGCAUACAAUAAAUCUUAUCCUUAUUUCCUCAAUGUGAUUAAUCCCUUCCUGCGGAGUUUGUUUGUGAGGAAUAAAUUCUAGUUCCAAGUGUUUUCAUCUUUUCUUUUCCGGAGUUCAAAUUUCCCCGGCCAUUUCGUCGAAACCCCCAUCUAAAUCAUCGCAAGGCUCAUCUUAUUCUUUCAUCCUUUAUUCUAUGUCAUCAUCCUUUUUGUCACCGGAGUUCUUCAUGGUGGUUCUUCAUGAUUUAAUUCAUUCUUCAAGAGUUCAUCAAGAUUUUGUUGGUGGAGUUCAACUAUCUUUUCUUCUCAUGUCCCGAAGUGCAAAUAAUUCUCCAUUUUCUUCUGAAGUGGAGUUUUGCAUUUCUUCGUUCUUCUCAGCUAUUCAGACAUUUGGUUGUGGCAUAAUUUCACCUCAAGUUUUGAGAUGUUUUUCCAUAAGUCCACAACAAGCUUAUUCUUUCGUUGUUGAUUUUGUCAACAACUCCGUUCAACCCUUCCUUCUAAGUUCUUUUCAUUCCAUUCUUUCAAUUCUUCCGGAGACAUUGCGUUGUUCAUCUCAUCAAGUGUCAUCCCAUUGGGUGAAGUUCAUGUUCUAUUCCUUCCAUUUUCAGUCGGAGUGCUACCUAAAUUCUUCCAUUCAUAUUCCUUUCCUAUUUUGUUCUAACCGGAGUGGUUUCGGAAUCUAUCUUUUUCUUGAGUUUUUCAUUCUCUUCAUAUCCGCCGUUCAUCUUUUCUACCCGAGUGCUCUCGAUUUUGUUCAUCUUAUCUCCUGCACUCUUACUUCACCUCUUCCUCUUUCUCUUCCGUCUCGUUCCUAAGAUCUCGGGACGAGAUCUCUUGUUAGUGGAGGAGAGUUGUAACACCCCGGAUUCGAUGCGCCAGGUGUCUCCCAGUUAUUCGCCGUAUUUUCCAUGUCAUUUUCUUGCGUGUUGCAUUUUGCCAUGUCAUCAUUUGCAUUUCAUCUGCAUGUUUUUCAAAACUUGCAUCCGUUCGGGUCCUCCCGGUUCUCUCCAUUGUUCGUUCGGAGUCCAGACCACACUCGUACGCGCCCGUCGCCCUCUCUGACCUUGUUUUGUGAGCUGCCGAAAAACAUUCUCAGAAUGGGUCGAGAUUUUCCGAGUGGCCUUGGUAUAUCACCGGUAGACCGCCGGUCAAAUUUCGUUCCAUUUGGAGGUCGUUUGAUGCCCAACCGGUUAACCACGUAGCCCGAAACCCCCUUCUCUUUGCAGCCCAGCCCCUCUUCACACAGCCCAUGAGCCCAUCCAAACCCCCUCCAUGCUCUCGGUCGUUCGAUCAUGAUCGUGUGGGCAAAAACCGCACCCCAUUUGGACUCUCCUAACUCCCUCUACCUAUAUAAACACCCCCUCCCUCGAAAUUUCGGAUCAAAGCCUACCCUAACCCUAGCCUUCUCCCUCCUCGCGCCACCGGACACAUCUCCCCCGCCGNNNNNNNNNNNNNNNNNNNNNNNNNNNNNNNNNNNNNNNNNNNNNNNNNNNNNNNNNNNNNNNNNNNNNNNNNNNNNNNNNNNNNNNNNNNNNNNNNNNNNNNNNNNNNNNNNNNNNNNNNNNNNNNNNNNNNNNNNNNNNNNNNNNNNNNNNNNNNNNNNNNNNNNNNNNNNNNNNNNNNNNNNNNNNNNNNNNNNNNNNNNNNNNNNNNNNNNNNNNNNNNNNNNNNNNNNNNNNNNNNNNNNNNNNNNNNNNNNNNNNNNNNNNNNNNNNNNNNNNNNNNNNNNNNNNNNNNNNNNNNNNNNNNNNNNNNNNNNNNNNNNNNNNNNNNNNNNNNNNNNNNNNNNNNNNNNNNNNNNNNNNNNNNNNNNCUCCGCCGCUGUUCGCCGCCACCUCGCCGACCGCCACCGCCAUCUCCUCUGCUCCGCCGCUCGUCUGCCGGCGCCCCGCCGCCCCGAACUCGCCUCGUCGCCGGCCUCUCUGCGCCGCGCCGCCAGCCUCCCUCGCUGCCGUUCGGUGCCUCGGCCCUCGCUGGCGGGCCACCUGGCUGCGCCUCGCCUCCACCCGUCGGAGCUCGCUAGAGGAGCCCCGCGCCAAGCCUCCCCGCCGUCCCAUGCCUCCCCCGCCGGCCGCCACCUCGCCGGAGGUACUCGCCGUCGCCGAAGUUCGUUCCCCGGCCGGAUCCACCGGAAGGUGGACGAGAUCCAUCGGGAUCCCAACCAAACACCAACUCCCCACGCCCGGAUCCCUCCGUCUCGGAUCCUCCCUAUCCCACUCUUCGCGAGGGUAAAAAAACUGCCAAGUCCCUGAAAUUGUAUCAGCAUGUUGCAUACUUUGACCUGCCAUAACUUUGUGUGUACUGCUCCAUUUUGCAUGCAUGAUAUAUCAAAAUGUUUAUUGUGGGAUGCUCUUAAUUUCGUUCCAUUGAGCAAUGCUUGUUUGUGUCCAUCUUGAUGCCCAAAUCAUCGCUUCAAGAGUGCUAUAUGAUGUUAACUGCUGUCUGCUAACAGAACUUGGUGAUUUGUCUUUUUCAUUGCAUUUUGUGUGUGCAUCCUAUGAGCUUGAUGUCUACAUGUGUUUUGAGCUAUAUCAUGCCGUGUAUACAGUGGUGCAAUCCAUAUAUUUUUGUGAGUCUUGUAGUGAGUGCGUCAAGCUCGUGAAGUAGGGUACUUGCUGUUACUGUUUUGCUAGUCUGAAUCUGCUAUAUCAUGAUGCCAUGUAAACCUGCUGCUACAAGUCAUUCUAUGCAUAAUCUGGAGAUGUUCACUAAGGAUGUUCUGUUAUUCAUGUCAUGCUCUAUCCAUCCGUGCCCCUGAUUGCAUUUAUAGCCUGGUGUAGCUUGUUGUAAUCUUGCUCCAAACUUGCUAAAUAAUGUUGCUGUCAGCCUGUUAACAUUAAGUUCAGUUUUGCCAUGAGCUUUGCUAGUGAUCCAUGCACCCUAUGAACUUGUUCUUGGCAUGUUUAGCUUAUAAAUUUGUCGUAUUACUGUUGGUCACCUUUUCAUGCCGUAUAUUGCUCUGUAGUGAGUUGUACAAACUCACCAACAUGGCUACUUAUUGUUGUCCCUGCCAUGUCUGAAUCUGUCAUAUCACUUGCCAUGUUUGCAUGGAUGCUACCAUGUUUUCUUUUGAUCUUUGGAAUUAGUUCGGUAAGAGAGUUUUGUUCUUUGUCUUUAUUAUUAGCAUUCCAUGCCUUUGUUUGCCAUGUUAAGGUCCUGUAACAUAUUGUUUGAUAGCUCUAAACAUUGCAACCUGAUGUUAUUUCUGCCAUGCACAGUGAUUUCUGCCAAGUCUGUGAAACUGUUAUUAUUUGCAAUCUUGCCAUGUCCUUUUGAGCAUUUUAUAGUGUUUUCUGGAGAUAGCUCAAUGUUCAUGUUUUGUAAUGCUUUACCUGUACUUCAUGCCCAUGCUAUUUGUUUUCAUGUUGAGAUGCUGUAGCAUAUUGUUUUGAUGCUUGCUAGAUGCCUAGUUGCUCUUUUGGACAGCUUGUCCUUUUAACUUGUUUCACGUGUAUGUGUUGAACCGUUGCUUCGUUUUGAGUGUGCUUUAUAUGAAACUUGCUUGAUUUUGCAUAUAGUUUCAUCUUACCAUGUUGCAUCCUUGUUUUGAGAGUGUUUGCUUGAUGUUUGGAUGCCUUUUGCACCAAUGCCAUGCUUAACUUGUUUUGCUCAUAUCUUCUAGGCCGUAGCUCCGAAUUAAAUGAACUUUAUAUGUAACUUGACUAGAAUCUCAUGUAGAUCAUCUUGGUGCAUCUUAACUUGCUGUUUAACAACUUGAACAUAAGGUUUAUUCAGUUCUGGACCAAUUUCUAAAUCUGCAUAUAAGGACUUACCGGAUUUGUUAUAUGUUGUUUCCGGCCUCAUUUAAACUUGCCUUGAUAUGUUGUUCUUGUUUGCAUCAUCUCUUGUCAUGAGUAGCUUCAUGUAGCCUUUGUCAUGCAUCAUACUUGGUUGAGCAUCGUGUCAUGGUUAUGUGUUGCGUGUUUACCUUGUUGUUUGCUUCUUUCCGGUUGUGCUCCUUCUCGUUAGUUUCUGUUUCGUUGCGAUCGUGAGGAUUCGUUCGUCUACGCUUGGUUCGUCUUCGUGGCUUCAUCCUCUUCAUGGACUCGUUCUUCUUCCUUGUGGGAUUUCAGGCAAGAUGACCGUCACCUUGGAUCUCAUUACUAUCAUUGCUAUGCUAGUUGCUUCGUUCUAUCGCUAUGUUGCGCUUCCUAUCACUUGUUCUUUAAGCCUUCCCAAAUUGCCAUGUCAACCUCUAACCUUUUCACCCUUCCUAGCAAACCGUUGCUUGGCUAUGUUACCGCUGUUGCUCAGCCCCUCUUAUAGCGUGGUUAGUUGCAGGUGAAGUUGAAGAUUGCUCCAUGGUGGACAUGAUUUUUUUGGGAUAUCACAAUCUCUCUUAUUUAAUUAAUGCAUCUAUAUACUUGGUAAAGGGUGGAAGGCUCGGCCUUAUGCCUGGUGUUUUGUUCCACUCUUGCCGCCCUAGUUUCCGUCAUACCAGUGUUAUGUUCCUUGAUUUUGCGUUCCUUACGCGGUUGGGUGAUUUAUGGGAUCCCCUUGACAGUUUGCUUUGAAUAGAACUCCUCCAGCAAGGCCCAACCUUGGUUUUACCAUUUGCCUCACCACCACCUAUUACCUUUCCCUUGGGUCGGCCAACCCGAGGGNNNNNNNNNNNNNNNNNNNNNNNNNNNNNNNNNNNNNNNNNNNNNNNNNNNNNNNNNNNNNNNNNNNNNNNNNNNNNNNNNNNNNNNNNNNNNNNNNNNNNNNNNNNNNNNNNNNNNNNNNNNNNNNNNNNNNNNNGCCAGUGCUUCUCUAAGUGCUGGUCUGAACCAGAGCCCUUUGCAGCGCCCCCUCAGGGAAACUUGAGGUCUGGUUUUAGUUGUACGGAUUGCUCAUCCGGUGUUGCCCUGAGAAUGAGAUAUGUGCAGCUCCUAUCGGGAUUGUCGGCACAUCGGGCGGCUUUGCUGGUCUUGUUUUACCAUUGUCGAAAUGUCUUGUAAACCGGAAUUCCGAGACUGAUCGGAUCUUCCUGGGAGAAGGAAUAUCCUUCGUUGACCGUGAGAGCUUGUGAUGGGCUAAGUUGGAAACCCCUGCAGGGUAUAAACUUCCGAGAGCCGUGCCCGCGGUUAUGUGACAGAUGUGAAUUUGUUAACGUCCGGUUGUAGAUAAUUUGACACCGGAUUCGAAUUAAAACGCAUCAACCGCGUGUGUAGCCGUGAUGGUCUCUUUUCGGCAGAGUGCGGGAAGUGAACACGGUUUUGGGUUAUGUUUGACGUAAGCAGGAGUUCAGGAUCACUUCUUGAUCAUUGCUAGCUUCACGACCAUUCCGUUGCUCCUCUUCUCGCUCUUAUUUGCGUAUGUUAGCCACCAUAUUAUGCUUAGUCGCUGCUGCAACCUCACCACUUUACCCCUUCCUUUCCCAUUAAGAUUUGCUAGUCUUGAUACCCAUGGUAAUGGGAUUGCUGAGUCCUCGUGGCUCACAGAUUACUACAACAACAGUUGUAGGUACUGGUUAUGCGAUGAUCAUGACGCGAGAGCGAUGUUUGCUUGUUUUGGAGUUCUUCUUCUGCUUCUUCUUCGAUCAGGGGAUAGAUUCCAGGUCGGCAGCCUGGGCUAGCAGGGUGGAUGUCGUUUGAGUUUCCGUUUGUGUUUCAUCCGUAGUCGGAUGGUGCUCUUUUGUAAGAUGAUGUUGUAUUCGUGUGGCAUUGUAUGCCUUUGUAUGUAUCCCCAUCUAUUAUGUAAUGUUGAUGUAAUGAUAUCCACCUUGCAAAAGCGUAUCAAUAUGCGGUUCUAUCCUUGGUGGGACCUUCGAGUCUCUUUAGGUUAGUAUCGCAUAUUGGGCGUGACAAGUUGGUAUCAGAGCCUCGACCGACCAUAGGAGCCCGCUUGAUUGAUCGUGUAGUUUGGCCAUUGUCGAGUCUAGAAGAAAACUGUUUUCGGAGUCUAGUUAUUUCGGAGAGUAGGAAUUCUGUUACUCCUCAGCCCCUUCGUCGCUCUGGUGAGGAAUCUUGACAUAGGUGUUUUGAAUUACUCCUCUUCCCCUUCAAAAUUUUCUUUAGGAUCACGCAGUUGGUUUUUCGAUCGUUGGUUCUCAGCUCUUUUCAUCCGGUGCAUUUCUCGUCAAGUUGACUCGAGCCUCUUCAUCUUUGCCAAGUUCAAUCCUCAGUUGUUUUCUUUUUCCCACCCGCCCACCUCUUUUCAUCUCGGAGUCAGACUCCGUAAUCGAGUAUCCAUCCUACUCGUGCGAAGCAUUUGCAUUCUUUCAACCGGUGUUUCCUCUUGAAGUUAUUCAUCGGUUUUUCCCCUUCCAAGUUGCCUUUGUUUUCCCGCCCUCCCACCCUCUUCUUCCCGGAGCCUGAGUCUGUUUCGACCAUCAAUUUCAUUCGUACGGAGCCUCUUCAGUCUUCCCUCAAUCAUUUCAACUGGUGAAUUCUCGUCUCGGUGGACAUUCUUCAUCUCUUCUCCGAUGGAUUCAAUUCCAUUUUUCGAUAGUGAUUAUAUUCUUUCCCUCGGCUCCUUGUUCGUUNNNNNNNNNNNNNNNNNNNNNNNNNNNNNNNNNNNNNNNNNNNNNNNNNNNNNNNNNNNNNNNNNNNNNNNNNNNNNNNNNNNNNNNNNNNNNNNNNNNNNNNNNNNNNNNNNNNNNNNNNNNNNNNNNNNNNNNNNNNNNNNNNNNNNNNNNNNNNNNNNNNNNNNNNNNNNNNNNNNNNNNNNNNNNNNNNNNNNNNNNNNNNNNNNNNNNNNNNNNNNNNNNNNNNNNNNNNNNNNNNNNNNNNNNNNNNNNNNNNNNNNNNNNNNNNNNNNNNNNNNNNNNNNNNNNNNNNNNNNNNNNNNNNNNNNNNNNNNNNNNNNNNNNNNNNNNNNNNNNNNNNNNNNNNNNNNNNNNNNNNNNNNNNNNNNNNNNNNNNNNNNNNNNNNNNNNNNNNNNNNNNNNNNNUAUCCAUCCUACUCGUGCGAAGCAUUUGCAUUCUUUCAACCGGUGUUUCCUCUUGAAGUUAUUCAUCGGUUUUUCCCCUUCCAAGUUGCCUUUGUUUUCCCGCCCUCCCCCCCUCUUCUUCCCGGAGCCUGAGUCUGUUUCGACCAUCAAUUUCAUUCGUACGGAGCCUCUUCAGUCUUCCCUCAAUCAUUUCAACUGGUGAAUUCUCGUCUCGGUGGACAUUCUUCAUCUCUUCUCCGAUGGAUUCAAUUCCAUUUUUCGAUAGUGAUUAUAUUCUUUCCCUCGGCUCCUUGUUCGUUCGCCUCUCGCCAGUUUAUCCUUCCGGAGUGUGCAAGACAUCUCAGGAGAUUGGCCUGUGUUCGAAUUAAUUCAAGGUUAUUACCUCAUUUAAAUAUUUCAAUUGUUCCGGUGCAUCAUCUAUCUGUUCAACAUCCCUUUCCAAUGGUGUUUUUCUCUUUAGUGGGCCCUAACCCACAGGUCUUUUCCUAGGAUCUUACCUGACUCUUCUAAUUAUUCCGGAUCCAUUCCUAAUUCUAUUCGAGUUUGACGUAAGAAUGAAUUUCAUCAGUCACAUGCCUUCUCCAAGAUCAUUUUCAAAUUCUUUUCAUUGUUGGCUCAACCUCUUCGCUUGUCAUGCUCCUGGAGUGUCUCAGUAAUUUUUGUGGCGUUCCUCAUCGCCAUUUCAAGAUAGAACAAGAGUUCCUCUUAAAUCUUGUCUGUUCUCUCGAAGUUUCGUGGUUCUUGCUUCAUGUUAUCCUCGCGAAUUAUUUCAAUUUGUCAGAAAUUCUUUUAAACAUCUGGAGUAUGUCAGGAGUUGUUUUCCGUUUCUUUUCACUGGAGGCCAUCGUCCCAAAAGAAUUCUUAGUCCUCACAUUUCAGCUAUCGUUAUCCAAUUAUCCCGGUGCUUCAUUCAAGUGUUCUUUAUUCAGCUCAUGAUCUCUUUGUUCUUUUGCAUCUAAAUCCCCUCGAGCAUAUUGGUUCUUCUAAUUCUUCCCGGUGAUUCAUUCCCUUUCUUCAAUCAUUUCUCUAAUUCUUACGGUGGUUCGUUCAAGAUUCUUUUUCUUUGAUUAUCAUAUUAAUUCAUCUGUUCUUUUCAAUCCUACCGCUGGUUCAUGAAGACCUUCUCAAGUUUGCGAUAUGUCACUUCUCAAUCCUUUUUUUAAGAAGAAUAAGUAGUAUGAAAAAUCCAUUGCUUGUCAUCAAUUUAAUUUGAUGAAGGAUAAGCAUACAAUAAAUCUUAUCCUUAUUUCCUCAAUGUGAUUAAUCCCUUCCUGUGGAGUUUGUUUGUGAGGAAUAAAUUCUAGUUCCAAGUGUUUUCAUCUUUUCUUUUCCGGAGUUCAAAUUUCCCCGGCCAUUUCGUCGAAACCCCCAUCUAAAUCAUCGCAAGGCUCAUCUUAUUCUUUCAUCCUUUAUUCUAUCUCAUCAUCCUUUUUGUCACCGGAGUUCUUCAUGGUGGUUCUUCAUGAUUUAAUUCAUUCUUCAAGAGUUCAUCUAGAUUUUGUUGGUGGAGUUCAACUAUCUUUUCUUCUCGUGUCCCGAAGUGCAAAUAAUUCUCCAUUUUCUUCUGAAGUGGAGUUUUGCAUUUCUUUGUUCUUCUCAGCUAUUCAGACAUUUGGUUGUGGCAUAAUUUCACCUCAAGUUUUGAGAUGUUUUUCCAUAAGUCCACAACAAGCUUAUUCUUUCGUUGUUGAUUUUGUCAACAACUCCGUUCAACCCUUCCUUCUAAGUUCUUUUCAUUCCAUUCUUUCAAUUCUUCCGGAGGCAUUGCAUUGUUCAUCUCAUCAAGUGUCAUCCCAUUGGGUGAAGUUCAUGUUCUAUUCCUUCCAUUUUCAGUCGGAGUGCUACCUAAAUUCUUCCAUUCAUAUUCCUUUCCUAUUUUGUUCUAACCGGAGUGGUUUCGGAAUCUAUCUUUUUCUUGAGUUUUUCAUUCUCUUCAUAUCCGUCGUUCAUCUUUUCUACCCGAGUGCUCUCGAUUUUGUUCAUCUUAUCUCCUGCACUCUUACUUCACCUCUUCCUCUUUCUCUUCCGUCUCGUUCCUAAGAUCUCAGGACGAGAUCUCUUGUUAGUGGAGGAGAGUUGUAACGCCCCGGAUUCGAUGCGCCAGGUGUCUCCCAGUUAUUCGCCGUAUUUUCCAUGUCAUUUUCUUGCGUGUUGCAUUUUGCCAUGUCAUCAUUUGCAUUUCAUCUGCAUGUUUUUCAAAACUUGCAUCCGUUCGGGUCCUCCCGGUUCUCUCCAUUGUUCGUUCGGAGUCCAGACCACACUCGUACGCGCCCGUCGCCCUCUCUGACCUUGUUUUGUGAGCCGCCGAAAAACAUUCUCAGAAUGGGUCGAGAUUUGCCGAGUGGCCUUGGUAUAUCACCGGUAGACCGCCCGUCAAAUUUCGUUCCAUUUGGAGGUCGUUUGAUGCCCAACCGGUUAACCACGUAGCCCGAAACCCCCUUCUCUUUGCAGCCCAGCCCCUCUUCACCAUAGCCCAUGAGCCCAUCCAAACCCCCUCCAUGCUGUCGGUCGUUCGAUCAUGAUCGUGUGGGCAAAAACCGCACCCCAUUUGGACUCUCCUAACUCCCUCUACCUAUAUAAACACCCCCUCCCUCGAAAUUUUGGAUCAAAGCCUACCCUAACCCUAGCCUUCUCCCUCCUCACGCCACCGGACACAUCUCCCCCGCCGACGGACAUGUCCACCCGCCGCACCGUCCNNNNNNNNNNNNNNNNNNNNNNNNNNNNNNNNNNNNNNNNNNNNNNNNNNNNNNNNNNNNNNNNNNNNNNNNNNNNNNNNNNNNNNNNNNNNNNNNNNNNNNNNNNNNNNNNNNNNNNNNNNNNNNNNNNNNNNNNNNNNNNNNNNNNNNNNNNNNNNNNNNNNNNNNNNNNNNNNNNNNNNNNNNNNNNNNNNNNNNNNNNNNNNNNNNNNNNNNNNNNNNNNNNNNNNNNNNNNNNNNNNNNNNNNNNNNNNNNNNNNNNNNNNNNNNNNNNNNNNNNNNNNNNNNNNNNNNNNNNNNNNNNNNNNNNNNNNNNNNNNNNNNNNNNNNNNNNNNNNNNNNNNNNNNNNNNNNNNNNNNNNNNNNNNNNNNNNNNNNNNNNNNNNNNNNNNNNNNNNNNNNNNNNNNNNNNNNNNNNNNNNNNNNNNNNNNNNNNNNNNNNNNNNNNNNNNNNNNNNNNNNNNNNNNNNNNNNNNNNNNNNNNNNNNNNNNNNNNNNNNNNNNNNNNNNNNNNNNNNNNNNNNNNNNNNNNNNNNNNNNNNNNNNNNNNNNNNNNNNNNNNNNNNNNNNNNNNNNNNNNNNNNNNNNNNNNNNNNNNNNNNNNNNNNNNNNNNNNNNNNNNNNNNNNNNNNNNNNNNNNNNNNNNNNNNNNNNNNNNNNNNNNNNNNNNNNNNNNNNNNNNNNNNNNNNNNNNNNNNNNNNNNNNNNNNNNNNNNNNNNNNNNNNNNNNNNNNNNNNNNNNNNNNNNNNNNNNNNNNNNNNNNNNNNNNNNNNNNNNNNNNNNNNNNNNNNNNNNNNNNNNNNNNNNNNNNNNNNNNNNNNNNNNNNNNNNNNNNNNNNNNNNNNNNNNNNNNNNNNNNNNNNNNNNNNNNNNNNNNNNNNNNNNNNNNNNNNNNNNNNNNNGGCGCCCCGCCGCCCCGAACUCGCCUCGCCGCCGGCCUCUCUACGCCGCGCCGCCCGCCUCCCUCGCUGCCGUUCGGUGCCUCGGCCCUCGCUGGCGGGCCACCUGGCUGCGCCUCGCCUCCACCCGUCGGAGCUCGCUAGAGGAGCCCCGCGCCACGCCUCCCCGCCGUCCCAUGCCUCCCCCGCCGGCCGCCACCUCGCCGGAGGUACUCGCCGUCGCCGAAGUUCGUUCCCCGGCCGGAUCCACCGGAAGGUGGACGAGAUCCAUCGGGAUCCCAACCAAACACCACCUCCCCGCGCCCGGAUCCCUCCGUCUCGGAUCCUCCCUGUCCCACUCUUCGCGAGGGUAAAAAAACUGCCAAGUCCCUGAAAUUGUAUCAGCAUGUUGCAUACUUUGACCUGCCAUAACUUUGUGUGUACUGCUCCAUUUUGCAUGCAUGAUAUAUCAAAAUGUUUAUUGUGGGAUGCUCUUAAUUUUGUUCCAUUGAGCAAUGCUUGUUUGUGUCCAUAUUGAUGCCCAAAUCAUCGCUUCAAGAGUGCUAUAUGAUGUUAACUGAUGUCUGCUAACAGAACUUGGUGAUUUGUCUUUUUCAUUGCAUUUUGUGUGUGCAUCCUAUGAGCUUGAUGUCUACAUGUGUUUUGAGCUAUAUCAUGCCGUGUAUACAGUGGUGCAAUCCAUAUAUUUUUGUGAGUCUUGUAGUGAGUGCGUCAAGCUCGUGAAGUAGGGUACUUGCUGUUACUGUUUUGCUAGUCUGAAUCUGCUAUAUCAUGAUGCCAUGUAAACCUGCUGCUACAAGUCAUUCUAUGCAUAAUCUGGAGAUGUUCACUAAGGAUGUUCUGUUAUUCAUGUCAUGCUUUAUCCAUCCGUGCCCCUGAUUGCAUUUAUAGCCUGGUGUAGCUUGUUGUAAUCUUGCUCCAAACUUGCUAAAUAAUGUUGCUGUCAGCCUGUUAACAUUAAGUUCAGUUUUGCCAUGAGCUUUGCUAGUGAUCCAUGCACCCUAUGAACUUGUUCUUGGCAUGUUUAGCUUAUAAAUUUGUCGUAUUACUGUUGGUCACCUUUUCAUGCCGUAUAUUGCUCUGUAGUGAGUUGUACAAACUCACCAACAUGGCUACUUAUUGUUGUCCCUGCCAUGUCUGAAUCUGUCAUAUCACUUGCCAUGUUUGCAUGGAUGCUACCAUGUUUUCUUUUGAUCUUUGGAAUUAGUUCGGUAAGAGAGUUUUGUUCUUUGUCUUUAUUAUUAGCAUUCCAUGCCUUUGUUUGCCAUGUUAAGGUCCUGUAACAUAUUGUUUGAUAGCUCUAAACAUUGCAACCUGAUGUUAUUUCUGCCAUGCACAGUGAUUUCUGCCAAGUCUGUGAAACUGUUAUUAUUUGCAAUCUUGCCAUGUCCUUUUGAGCAUUUUAUAGUGUUUUCUGGAGAUAGCUCAGUGUUCAUGUUUUGUAAUGCUUUACCUGUACUUCAUGCCCAUGCUAUUUGUUUUCAUGUUGAGAUGUUGUAGCAUAUUGUUUUGAUGCUUGCUAGAUGCCUAGUUGCUCUUUUGGACAGCUUGUCCUUUUAACUUGUUUCACGUGUAUGUGUUGAACCGUUGCUUCGUUUUGAGUGUGCUUUAUAUGAAACUUGCUUGAUUUUGCAUAUAGUUUCAUCUUACCAUGUUGAAUCCUUGUUUUGAGAGUGUUUGCUUGAUGUUUGGAUGCCUUUUGCACCAAUGCCAUGCUUAACUUGUUUUGCUCAUAUCUUCUAGGCCGUAGCUCCGAAUUAAAUGAACUUUAUAUGUAACUUGACUAGAAUCUCGUGUAGAUCAUCUUGGUGCAUCUUAACUUGCUGUUUAACAACUUGAACAUAAGGUUUAUUCAGUUCUGGACCAAUUUCUAAAUUUGCAUAUAAGGACUUACCGGAUUUGUUAUAUGUUGUUUCCGGCCUCAUUUAAACUUGCCUUGAUAUGUUGUUCUUGUUUGCAUCAUCUCUUGUCAUGAGUAGCUUCAUGUAGCCUUUGUCAUGCAUCAUACUUGGUUGAGCAUCGUGUCAUGGUUAUGUGUUGCGUGUUUACCUUGUUGUUUGCUUCUUUCCGGUUGUGCUCCUUCUCGUUAGUUUCUGUUUCGUUGCGAUCGUGAGGACCGUUCGUCUAUGCUUGGUUCGUCUUCGUGGCUUCAUCUUCUUCAUGGACUCGUUCUUCUUCCUUGCGGGAUUUCAGGCAAGAUGACCGUCACCUUGGAUCUCAUUACUAUCAUUGCUAUGCUAGUUGCUUCGUUCUAUCGCUAUGCUGCGCUUCCUAUCACUUGUUCUUUAAGCCUUCCCAAAUUGCCAUGUCAACCUCUAACCUUUUCACCCUUCCUAGCAAACCGUUGCUUGGCUAUGUUACCGCUGUUGCUCAGCCCCUCUUAUAGCGUGGUUAGUUGCAGGUGAAGUUGAAGAUUGCUCCAUGGUGGACAUGAUUUUUUUGGGAUAUCACAAUCUCUCUUAUUUAAUUAAUGCAUCUAUAUACUUGGUAAAGGGUGGAAGGCUCGGCCUUAUGCCUGGUGUUUUGUUCCACUCUUGCCGCCCUAGUUUCCGUCAUACCGGUGUUAUGUUCCUUGAUUUUGCGUUCCUUACGCGGUUGGGUGAUUUAUGGGACCCCCUUGACAGUUUGCUUUGAAUAGAACUCCUCCAGCAAGGCCCAACCUUGGUUUUACCAUUUGCCUCACCACCACCUAUUACCUUUCCCUUGGGUCGGCCAACCUGAGGGUCUUCUUUAUUUUAGCCCCCCCCCGGGCCAGUGCUUCUCUAAGUGCUGGUCCGAACCAGAGCCCUUUGCAGCGCCCCCUCAGGGAAACUUGAGGUCUGGUUUUAGUUGUACGGGUUGCUCAUCCGGUUUUGCCCUGAGAACGAGAUAUGUGCAGCUCCUAUCGGGAUUAUCGGCACAUCGGGCGGCUUUGCUGGUCUUGUUUUACCUUCGUUGACCGUGAGAGCUUGUGAUGGGCUAAGUUGGAAACCCCUGCAGGGUAUAAACUUCCGAGAGCCGUGCCCGCGGUUAUGUGACAGAUGUGAAUUUGUUAACGUCCGGUUGUAGAUAAUUUGACACCGGAUUCGAAUUAAAACGCAUCAACCGCGUGUGUAGCCGUGAUGGUCUUUUUUCGGUGGAGUGCGGGAAGUGAACACAGUUUUGGGUUAUGUUUGACGUAAGCAGGAGUUCAGGAUCACUUCUUGAUCAUUGCUAGCUUCACGACCAUUCCGUUGCUCCUCUUCUCGCUCUUAUUUGCGUAUGUUAGCCACCAUAUUAUGCUUAGUCGCUGCUGCAACCUCACCACUUUACCCCUUCCUUUCCCAUUAAGCUUUGCUAGUCUUGAUACCCAUGGUAAUGGGAUUGCUGAGUCCUCGUGGCUCACAGAUUACUACAACAACAGUUGUAGGUACUGGUUAUGCGAUGAUCAUGACGCGAGAGCGAUGUUUGCUUGUUUUGGAGUUCUUCUUCUGCUUCUGCUUCGAUCAGGGGAUAGAUUCCAGGUCGGCAGCCCGGGCUAGCAGGGUGGAUGUCGUUUGAGUUUCCGUUUGUGUUUCAUCCGUAGUCGGAUGGUGCUCUUUUGUAAGAUGAUGUUGUAUUCGUGUGGCAUUGUAUGCCUUUGUAUGUAUCCCCAUCUAUUAUGUAAUGUUGAUGUAAUGAUAUCCACCUUGCAAAAGCGUAUCAAUAUGCGGUUCUAUCCUUGGUGGGACCUUCGAGUCUCUUUAGGAUAGUAUCGCAUAUUGGGCGUGACAGCCAUCCUCUCACUACUCCAGCCUGAGCACGCUUAACUUCUGAGUUCUAUUCCCCUAGUUUCCAAGUCUGCACUUGUUGUUUACCCGACAAUAGUAAGCUGUCAAUCGUAUUAACCCUCAGGAGUUUAGUUUGAGCAUGAAGUCCUACGUUACACCAUUUGAGUUUGAAACUAUUAUUAUAAAAAACAAUAAUUAUUUAGUAACACUAAUAUUUUUUGAAUAAGUAGUUUGACCACAGUUUGACCAGAUUUGACCAUAAUUUGACUACGGUUUGACCAAAAUUCAAAAAAACUAAAAUAAUUAUUUAGUAACACUAAUAUUUCUUGAAUAAGUAGUUUGACCAUAGUUUGACCAGAUUUAACCAAAAUUCAAUUUUUUUUGAAAUUUGAGCAUAAUUUUUUUCUUUAAGAAUUUGAGGAUUCUAAAAAUGUGCAAAACAGCCUACGACGGUCGAAUUCGGAUGCGGAUUUUCGUGCUGAACAUUUUGAUAUAUUAUGCAGUUUUUUUCGACAUUGUAUGCAAAAGAUAUGGUCAUUUUACUUUUUCAUAACACUUUUUUGCAAAACAUGUAGAAAUUUAUGUUUUUAAAUUUCCCUAACUACUAGAUAUAGUAACAUAACUACAUCUUGAAGGAUUUUAAUUUUUGAAGUUUUUAUUAUUUUCUUUUGUUUUUUUUAACUGAAAAGGCGAUACGCAGGGGGGGGAGGGGGGUAGAGUUUGAAAAUUGCCCUUUAGUCCCGGUUUGUGUCUCCAACCGGGACUAAAGGUUAGACCCCUUUAGUCCCAGUUUGUGAUACAAAAUGGGACUAUAAGUUGGCCCUUUAGUCCCGGGUUUUGUCACAAAUCGGGACUAAAGGGGCUCGUGGGGCCCCGGCCUGAUGCCAGCCUGCCACCACCCCUUUAGUCCUAGUUUGUGACACAAACCGGACUAUAGGUCACAAAUAAACUGGGACUAAUGCAUAGCCGUUCGAACCGGGACUAAUGGUCAUAUUAGUGCCGGUUCAUUUACAAACCGGGACUAAUGAGCUGAACAUUAGGUCUUUUUUCUACUAGUGCCACAAGCAUUCUAUAUGUGGAUCUCACAGAGAAGGCUCCGCUCCUCUCGAAAUUCGCCUCCCAGAAAUCUUCCAAGUUCCUUGUACAUAGAGGGAUCCCCAUGAUGAUCGACACGUCCAUUAGCAUAAACACCUUUUCCCCCCGCUGCAUAUUCCAAGUGGCAGAAGUAGCAUCGACCAGUUCAGCUACCAGGACCAGAGGGUUUGGAACCCUGCACGGCUGCACCCGUACGGCCUCAACAUCUCAUCAUGUGGUAACUAGUUGUCCUUCCAUAUAUUUGUUGUUGAGCCAUUGCCAGUCCGUCUGAUCAAGCCCUGUUUCAGACUUGUAUGACUUUACAUUUUGCUGACGUGAUGCUUUGUGUGUAUAUGUUGGUGUUAUAUGUGUGCAUCCUUGUCAUAUACUCCAUCCGUCCCAAAAUAAGUGACCCAACUUUGUACUAGCUUUAGUACAAUGUUAGUACAAAGUUGAAUCACUUAUUUUGGGACGGAGGAAGUAUAUGUUGGGGAGUUCUCAUUAUGUUUGUAUCUCUUUGAUGCUUCAUUUUAAAUCAAUAAAAUCGACCCUUAAUCAUAGAAAAAAGCAGAGCUCGGCCGAUUUUCCGUCGUUCCGGGCUGCUACGAUUGUUGGAGAGUUGUUGUUGCCUCAUUAUUAAAAAAGAAGGAUCUCAUUGAAGAGUUAUUGGUCCCAGCUUGUGUGAAUUUCUGACAUGAAGAGAAGUUUAUUUGGAAAGAUGCAAGGCAAAUUUGGCCUACAUGCUAGGCUAUGAAGCUUUGUUUUAUGUCGUCUUGAGCCUUCUGUUUCACCUUUUACUCUUUAUCUUCGUCCCUGACACUACACAACGAAGUAGCAAUUCAAGCCUUCCUUGCAAAGGCGUGUCCUAGGCCACAAUGUGUUCAACGAUCUUUCAAAACAUACGAGAUUAGUCCAGUUUGUAGAGUUUUUUUUUCUAGUUCCUUUGCCUCAUGCCAGGAGUUCGUGUUUACCUGAAAAUUCGGAUUGGGUAAUUUGGGUUUAAAAUAUUAUGGGCUUUCAAAAUUGACACCGAAAUUCAAUUUUUUUCUAGUUCCUUUGCCUCCGGCCAGGAGUUCGGGUUUACAUGAAAAGAGAAUGCAACGGUGAAGAAUAUUGUAAAGGUUGAAGAUUCAAGACGAACAAGAAAUUCGGGCACAAUAUUAUCUAGUUCGUUCCGACAAUACUCCAUAUGAUAUAUUAUUACAAAUACAAGUCGUGUUGUGUGAAUUAAAGUGGUGAACAUUAUCUUCCUAUAAAAGAGAUGAUUGCCAUUCAUUUGCUUAUUUUUUCACAAAGUUUGUUUUUCUCCUAACAUUUAAGUAUCCACACUGCCAAUGUUCAUAUUGCUAAGUGCUAACACCGGUCUUUAUCCAAAAUAUAACAUUCCAACAGAGGAUGAAAACCCAUGAAGUUGUUCGAGAUAGUUUUGGUGACAGUUGAUGGAGAUUGGACUCACCCUAUAGGGCUAUAUGGUGGCCAAGAUGAUAAUGAAAUGACAAUGUGAGUCCACCUGAGAAAUCACUUCAAUUAACUCAACUUUUCCCUUGUGUACAAGAUUGCCAUAUCUGUGUCAGUUCCGGUGUACUUUUGUGUAACUUCACAUGACCAGUUAUCUGAGUGCAAGCAUUGUCCGACAAAGGGCCAUAAACUUCAUGCAACUUUUAACCUGAUUUGAAACAGAGACUCAUGAAACAUCCAUUCCACAUAUAUCUGGACAGCUGUUAUAUUUCACACAUUUUUUUAGGGUUAUUUUGCACAUUUGAUCUUGCACAAGUGUCAUCGACUUAUGAUUUUGCUAAGAUGAAGAACUAAUGUUAUUGAUGUACUCCCUCUGUGUUUAGACAAAUCUAAGACAAGAAUUUUGGGACAGAGGGAGUACAUCAAUAACAUUAGUUCUUCAUCUUAGCAAAAUCAUAAGUCGAUGACACUUGUGCAAGAUCAAAUGUGCAAAAUAACCCUAAAAAAAUGUGGUGUCCAUUGAGAAUUUAUACUGAUUUAGACAAGUGUGGUUUCUACUUUCUAGUAUCUACAUCCUGCACAAAUUGCUGUUCUUGGUACUCCUAUAUAGUAGAAGUAUCAACACCUGCAUUCAAGACUCACAAUUGUUCGAGCAUCCAUAGAUACCUUGCUCAAGAAUAACCAGAACAGUGCCCACAAAAAAGAGCCAAAUAUGUAUGGCACUUGGUCUAUCUCAAGAGGUUUUGAUCUUACAAUUUGCAUCUAGCACUGGCAAGCAUAAAACCGAUUUUCCACACACUGUUACUGAAGCAGAACUCAGUCACGCUAAUUCUACUAACCACAUCGCUGUAACACAACAAUGCCCUUCUCUUCUGUCCCAUCUACGUAUAUAUGCAUGUAAAAACACCAGUAAUUGAUUAAAACAUCACGAUGUGUCUACUAGAGCGACAAGGCUAACUUAAGUACUGGUAAAAAUCGAAUGCGGCAAACACUUGGAGAAGCGAAGCAAAUCCGCCGGCACCGGCUUGAUUGCUGGCUCGUGAACAUGCAUCAGGUAGGGGGCAGCACGUGGUGGUACCGGCCGUUGCCACGGCGGGCUCCGUAGAGCGCGAAGGCCAGCGCGGCGUCGAUCGCGGCGACGGAAAAGACCGUCGCGGCGAGGAUCCCGACGCGCACCUUCCUCCAGAAGGCAGCGCGGCGAAUGUGGAGGACAGCGGCCGUGGGGUUGGCAUUGAGCUCCGCGUCGGCGACCUCAACGAGCGCGAGGAGGAGGCGCUUUGAGCGCGGGCUGAGACCGCGGGCGCCGCUCACCUCGGCGAGGACGACCUCCAUCUCCGUGAGCAGGGGACCAUCGGCGUCGGCAAGCGCCGCAACCUGCA